AAUAUUUGAAGGAAUAAUGGCAAACCUAGUAUCCAAAGAUAUGGAAGAAUCAAUUGCAAAUUUAGUAACUCAUGCUGCAAAACUUAUUGCGAAAUUAAAUUCUGUCAACGAAGAAUUGUCCAAUGAACUUAAAAAUUCCAUGAGACUUCUAUAAUAGAUCUAAAUUUACAGCAAAUCAAACUUCCACCACAUAUGUUGAAAAAAAAAAAGCUGAAAUUGAUGAAUCUAUUAAAGUCUGUGCAAAGGGCAAUAAAAUUAGAGGACAGGAGUGGAAAUCGGUACAAACUGGUGAGUCACAAAAAAAAAGGACGUACCAAAUGUCAAAUCUUGAAGCAGAGGCAUCCAAUGCCAAAGAUAAAGUAGUUACUUUUCAAAAAGAAAAGACAACAGACAUUUAGCGUGUCCAUCAACAGCAAGGAUAAAGCAACUGCAGCUGCUCAGAUUUACAAGAUAAUAUUUAUGUGAAAAAGAAAGGAGUUCGGGUAAAAACCAUUCCUCAUUGCAAAUUUAACUCUUAACAGAUUUCACGGUCGUACCUGUACUCGGACAGAAAAAAGUCGUUUCUAGCUAUUUGAACCACUCAUUCAUAAUGACAUACAGCUGUGAAAAAAGAGACAAUCAGUUAUUUAAAUAUCUGAUAUAAGCAAUGAUGUAAAAAAUCCUCUUUUAAACGAGAAUAUGAAUUCAAAUUUUCAUUUAAUUAAAUUAUAAAAUUAUUUUUAAAAAAUAAUACUUAUUAUAGACAUUCAAUUUUGUUCAAGUCCGAAUCAAUUGGACUUGACCUAAAUAGGUAAGCUCAAUUUGAUUUUUAUCUUGUAUUAUUUUUAUUUUUUUUCUUUUAUGUUUUAUGCAUUUUAUUAUUUAUUUAUUAUUAUUAUUAUGUAUUAAUAUAUGUACAUCUUUAUUUAUCUAUUUAUUUAUUUUAUUUUAUUUUAUUUUAUUAAUAUUUAUAUGUAUUUUAUUUAUAUAGUUAUAUAUUUAUAUUAUAUUAUUUUUUUUUUAUCUUGUAAUAUUUUUUGGGUUUAUCUUAUUUUAUUUUUAAUUAUCUGUUAAUUUUAUUUUUAUUUAUUUAUCUGAUUUUUUCGAUUAUCUGAUUAUUAUUUUUUUCUUUUCUUUUUUUGAGGGCUGUGAUUGAAAGCUGAAGAAUCCUAUUGUGAAUGGAGAUUCAAUCAGAAGAGUCCAGAUUGAAUUCAAAGAUUGAAUUCCUGUCCAAAGAGGAAUUGGGAUUGAUCAGGAACUCCUGAUCAAUCCCUAUAAAAGAGACCCUCUGGGAACAGAAGCAGAACACACAGAGAAAAAACAGUGACCAAAGCUACUGAUUUGAGAGAAAAGGAGGCGUAUAGAAAGCUAAGAAAAUGUUUAAGAGUGUUCUGAGAGUUAGUAGAAUUUUUUGAAGAUUUUUUGACGAUUUUUUUCUGGGAAUUUUUGGAAAAUUCUAGAUUUCGGUUGAAUUUUUCGACGAAGUUUAAAUUUUUCGACGAAGAUUCCGGCCAAAUUUAAAGUUUUCGACGAGUUGCCCAGUUUCCGACGAAGAAUUCCAGAAACCAACAACCUUUCGGCCAACUUUCGGUGAACUUCUUAUGAAAUUUUCCAAAUUUCGAUGAUAUUUUCCAGAAUCCGAUGAAAUUCAACUGGAGUUCUUCAGCCUUUAGAGAGAAGGGAGAGAAAGAGGGAAGAAGAUAGAGAGAAAGGAAGAGCUUUCUGUCGAAAAACAGAGGGAAGGACCUUAUAUACCCUUCCAAAACGACGUCGUUUUGGCCUUAAGUGACCCAGAGGAUCCGCGCGUUUUAUCGAGACCCGAUCCGACCCAAGCGUCGACUCGCUUCCUGACCCGCGCGUGUCUGCCCCCCUCCGAGCCAAGCCGAGUCGAGCCGAGCUUCCCAAGCCGCCCCCCGAGCCGUUUCUCUUCCUUGAGCCGAGCUGAUAGCCGAGCCGCUCCAGGCUUUUUUUUUUGGAAUUUUUUUAUUUAUUUGUUUUAUUUAUUUAUUUAUUUUAUUAGAUUAGAUUUAUUUAAUAUUUUUUAUCUUUAUCUUAUUUUUAUUUUUGUUUUACUUUUCUUUAUUUUUUAUUUUUAUUUAUUUUCACUUUUAUUUUGUUCUAUUUUCUUUAAAUAAAAAUCAAAAAGUAUUUUUGGGGAAAAGUUGAAAGUAUCAAUUUUCCUUGGAAAUCAAAGUUUCAAAAAAAAGGAUUUUUGAGGAAAAGUUGAAAGUAUCAAUUUUCUUUGAAAAUCAAAGUUUCAAAAAAAAUAUUUUUGACGAAAAGUUGCAAGUAUCAAUUUUUCUUAAAAAUAAAUUUCCAAAAAAGUAUUUUUGAGAAAAAGUUGAAAGUAUCAAUUUUUCCUACACAAGAACAAUCAUUCUUUUCUUCCUUUCUAUUUUGAUUUUGAUUUUGAUUUUUCUUUAACUAAUCCAACGACGGAGCCUCUGCAAGUGAAACAGUAGUUUUUCUUGCAUAAUCUUGAGGUGAGGGAAUUUUCUCAAUUUUCUACGAAAAGUAUUAGAGUCAAUUGAGAAAAUUUUUCAAUAAUUAAUUACUUGGUAAAAUUUUAAGGCUUUUGGAUAACACAAAUUUAAGUUGGUACCAUCUUUUGAUGGGCGUUGUGAGGGUGUUAUAACCUUCCUCACACGUAAUCAAACUCCUGAACCCUGUUCUGGUUAGUAGACCUGAACCUAUUCUUUUAGGGGUCCUUAAACUUAGGCGUUCCUUAAAAGGACAGAUUCUUUAGGUGGCCAAUUGCACCUAGAUAAAAAAGAUUGGUGGCGACUCCCUAAAGUCAAUGUCUAGUGAUAGAUUCCCGGAUCUAGACGUUAUGACAGCUUGGCGACUCUGCUGGGGACUUUGAGAGUUAGGCCAGCAAGUAAUUUGUGUUAUCCAAAAGCCUAAUAAAAUUUAACCUGUUUGUAUAUAUGUGUUAUUAUUCAUUCAUGUUUAUUUACUUUGUUAAUUAUGUCAUUCAUGUGCAUGUGCAUAACAUGAGCUCUAUACCCGAGCUCCGUCCCUCUAGGAGGGAGUAAAGUACCUAUUGCUUUCGUGAGGUCUAAUGCCUCCGCAGUGGCUAGCGAAAUACUCCUACUCAAAUUGAACUUUUUUCGCUUGUAGCCUAUAUUGGGUGAGGAUUAGGGUACCUUACUAGUCUGUGAUGGACAAAGAUGUAAGGAACAAUUUGAUGACCUUUAGACUUUGACCUUAAAACCGCAUAUAGUGAACCUUAAGAAUGCCUAAACCUAGGAUAGAGCCCUUUCUACUCAAUGAUAGAUAUACCCUGAAAUUAAGACACAAAAAGGGUGUUUAUCUAAUCAUUUUGAUUGUUUAACUUUGUGUAUCAUUUUCAUUAUCAUAUGUAACAUUAUGCAUCAGCAUCACUUUCAUUUCAUCCAUUGAACUAACUAUGUUGUUUGUCUAAUUGUAUGCAUCUGCAUUAUUUUCAUGAUCAUGUUUUAACACAAUCAUUUACAUCCAUUUCAUACUAGAUUUCAUUCAAGAAAAUGUACAUUUCAUUCGUUCAUUAAAACAUCCUACACAAAGCAUAGCAAAACAUUUCUAAUCAUAAGUAUGGUACUCAAGGUCCAAGGAUAGCUCUGUCUAGCGAGAACUCUGCCCAUCGAUACAACAUAAGAUCCAGAGCAAGACAAAUGGAGCAAAAAAAUUCUCAUAGAUUUGAAAAGAUAGAAAAAGCACAAGAGAAGAUUGAAAGUGAGCUGAGCAAGAUUCUGGAGGCUCUUAAUAACAUGAAUAAAGGAAAAGGAGUUGAAGAAAAUGCAAGCCAACAAGUUCCCUCGUUACAAGAAGUGGCUGACCCUUUCUAUCCUCCAGGUUUUAGCCCACCUCAAGCCCAGUUUGCUUAAGAGAUCCCGUCACAACACUUCGCAUAUCCAACUUAUCUUGGAAUGCCAUCAGCUUUUAACCCAGGGUAGUAUAAUAGCUAUGUAAAUCCUAUCUUCACUAAAAAAGCUGCAGAACCAAUUCCUGAUCUAGAUGAUUUAAAAAAAAAAAGAGAAAGAAAAGAUAAGAGUGGAAGUUCAGGAAAGCUUCAAGAUUAGUAUGCUAGAGCAAAGGUUACGGGCUGUGGAAGGAUUUAGCUUUUAUGGGUCAGUUGAUGCUGCUGGGCUCUACCUAGUCCUUGAUGUGGUUAUUCCCUAUAAGUUCAAAGUAUCAAAAUUUAAAAAAUAUGAUGGUACAAAGUGCCCCAAAACUCACAUCAUAAUGUAUUACCGAAAAAUGACAGCUCAUGCUCAUGAUAAACCAAUUCCUGAUCUAGAUGAUUUAAAAGAAAAAGAGAAAGAAAAGAUAAGAGUGGAAGUUCAGGAAAGCUCCAAGAUUAGUAUGCUAGAGCAAAGGUUACGGGCUGUGGAAGGAUUUAGCUUUUAUGGGUCAGUUGAUGCUGCUGGGCUCUGCCUAGUCCCUGAUGUGGUUAUUCCCUAUAAGUUCAAAGUAUCAAAAUUAAAAAAUAUGAUGGUAUAAAGUGCCCCAAAACUCACAUCACAAUGUAUUGCCAAAAAAUGACAGCUCAUGCUCAUGAUGAAAAACUCAUGAUGCAUGUCUUUCAGGAUAGCCUUACAGGCUCAGCGGCCAUGUGGUAUGUUCAGCUGGACAGAACCCGCAUUCGCUCUUAGAGCAAUAUGGCACAUGACUUUAUCGGUCAGUAUCGACAUAUUAUCGAUUUGGCCCCUGAUCGUUUGUCUUUACAGAAUCUGAAGAAAAAGGCAAACGAGUCUUUUAAAGAGUAUGCUCAGAGGUAGAGAGAUAUUGCUUCUCAAGUACAACCUCUUUUGACUGAGAAAGAAACUACAGUGUUAUUUAUUAGCACUUUGAAGUCUCCCUAUUAUGAAAAGAUGAUAGGGAAUGCAACAAAGAAUUUCACUGACAUGGUAAUCUUUGGAGAAAUUAUUGAAAGUGUCAUAAAAAAUGGCAAGUUGAAAGGAGGAGAAACCAAGAAGACAUCAAAAAAGAAAGAAGCUCAAGCUCAAGCUAUGAGUUUUGAUAGACAACAAUUCAGAGGUUAUCAACCCUAUCUAUCCCAAGGUUACUUUUCAUACUAUCCUGCUGUGAAUAAUGCCUCAUCCUACCCAUACCAGCUAGCUCCACAACCACCUUAUUCAUUCACCCACCAAUCAAUUUUUGGCCCCCAAGAUCUUACAUACAGCCUUAACAUUCAAGCUCCUGUAAGAACUCAAAUUCGCCCUAUUAACCCAGCAAGUGGUUCACGAGAACAACGAACUACUCGAGAAAAAUUUGUAUUUGAUCCAAUCCCUAUGACUUAUACAGAGUUAUAUCAAGAACUCUAUAAUAGCCAUUUGAUUGCCCUCAGCCAUGUGGAGCCGCUUAAACCACCCUACCCAAAGUGGUAUGAUCCUAUAGCCCACUGCAACUAUCAUUAUGGAAUUACUGGCCAUUCUACUGAAAAUUGCACUGCUUUAAAGCAUAAGGUGCAACGGUUGAUCAAUGAUGGAAUGGUAAGUUUUGAUCAAGGGAAAGCAACAACACCUAAUGUUAGCGUUCUGAAUGAAAGUCAAGAACAAAAAGGGGCCGAAGAGUCACAAUGAAUUGAGGAGCAAGAUGUCAAUAGAGAUUCUUCACCUGAUUGCAUAGGGGGACAAUUUUAAAGAAUGGAGAUAAGGCUGGUUGAAGGUUCUUUUGUCAUGUUAGGAUUUCUUUUCGAGUGAUUGUUGGAUUUCUUUUUGCAAUAUGAUUUCACUUGUUAUCAUCUUAAUAAAGGCAAGUUAAUGCAUUUCAUUACAUUUUUCUCUUUCACUUGACCAUUAUUCCAUACCCUGUUACCUUUUAUAACUUUAUACUCCUAUUCUUAAAUUUUAGAUGAUGAAUAUUUAGACAAUGAUAACAAUAAUUCUGAGAUUUACUUUUGAGAAUUCAUCCACAUUAAUAUGAGGAGGUGAUUUGAGCACAAAAAAAAAGAGGUAAGCCAUUACCAGAGGUGAAAGAGAUAUGUCUUAAAUACAGGAUCAUGAGCUUUGUUCAAUAGAUGAUGUUCAAGAAAAGUAUUCACAAUUGAGAUGAAAAAUGGUUAUCUUUCUUUUACCAUUCGAAAAAUCAUUUAUUGCUACCCCUUUGAGCCUAUUAUGAUUUUUUUUUCGAAAGAACCCCAACCAAGGAUCACCCUCUACACUGGGGGGCAAUUUUUAAAAAAAUCACAAAAGGUCUCAAAAAUAAAAAAAAAGAAAAAAAAAAUAAAUGCCACACAUGACUUGGGGUAAAAUAAUAAGAAUCCUUUGUGUGAAAAAAAGAAAAAAAUAGUGAAACGAUGCAAAAUGCCAAGUUGUAUCAAAUGAUCCUUUGGUUUUAAACUUUUUUAAUACAUGUUUUGAGCCUAUUAUAUCCAUUUUUUUUAUGACCCCUCACCUUGGCCUACAUUACAACCUUGCAAAGUCCAUUUGGAUCAAGUGAGAAUACUCAACUUGAAUGAUCAUAUGUUGAGCGAAGGUAUACUCAUGAUGAAGCAAUGGAAUCAUGCUACAUUGCUCUAAAGUUGGAUGUAUGAAAGAUAUCAACAAUGGAUAAAAAAUGAAAAAAAAUGAUGAAAAAAAAAGAAAAAAAAGAAAGAAAAAAAUGAGAAAAUAAAAAAAAAGAUAUUCAAAUUGAAAACCUGAAAGGUUGAUUUUGAUAGAAAAAGAUCCAGGUCAAAUGGCUCACAUGAAUGGAAUACCAAAGACAUCUGAAGAUCCCUCAAAGACUGAGGCAAAGCUCGCCAAGCUCAAGAUGACUUCAACAAUAAAUGGAAUGGGUUUUUGAAAAAGAAUCCUAGAUUAAUGUUGAGAAUUGUCUGAAUAUUCAUCAUUUGGACAAACCAUUCAUCCUAAUGACAUGUAUCCAAUUUAUUUCCUUUCCCAUUUGUUUUGUACCAAAAUAGACCUUCAUUGAUUAUCUUUACCAUAAUUCACCUUAUUGUUUCACCCCUAGAAUGAAUUGAGAAAAUGCUUGAUUGCAUUGUAUUUAUCAAGAUUUGAAAUGAUAAUGAAUGAAUGAAUAUGUGUUUAAAAGAAUCUUGUAUUCAUUUGAAAAGAAAUCUAAGAUGAUGGUGGUAACAAAAUGAAAAAUGGUAGAAACCUAAAAGAGAUGAUUUGGAAAGAUAUAUGAAGUGAUCAAAAAGAGAUGGGACAAAUCUUGAAAAGUGGUAUAACCAAGUGAUGAGUACAAGGAUGAAUUGGUCGAUAUGACUUGCAAGUUGUGAUUGAAUGAUGAGAACAAUCAGUGGACAAAGUUUGUUUUGGAAUGGUUAAUGCUGAGACACCUAUGACCCAGUGAUGGUGGAUGAAACUUGUUUUAAAAUUUGUUAGUGCUGAGAAAUUCAUCGAAUGAUGGUCAAGUGAUGAUCGAUUGAUGAAGCUUAUUCCAAAGUAUUGAGAAACUGAACAAGAAAGAGUGUGAGUGGAAAAGACAAUUGAGAGCUACACUGGUUCGAUCUUAGAAGAGCAGUGUAAUCGGAUCUCUGAAGAAUCAAAGGGCUUGAUGCCUAAGAAAAGAGCUUGAGAAAUUUGAGUACCAUACAUUGAACAGGAAUUAAUUAGCCAACAUUUACAUAGCAUGCAUUGAAAUUCAUAUGCAUUUGCAUAGCAUACACUACUUUCAGGAAAGUAUAGUGUAUAAACUCAGGAAGCAGGGGUGUUUCAACAUCCCACAUGGAGAAGACAGAUAUAAAGAUAUUUUGCAAAAUUGAAAAAGAAAAAGCUUGUCAGGUAAGCCCCUAAUCCUUGAAAUAGGAUGUCUUCUGGUAUCAGGGUUGAUUUAUAAGACCUUUGGGCAUAAUCUCCUGAAAUUCCUUUAAACACAACUUUCAACUCCUUUGGACAUGAUUGUCAAUGAGCAAUUUAUUUUCCAAAGUUUCGUUGCCUCUGUUUAGAGGAGCAAUUUACUUUCCAAAGUCGUGGUGCCUCUGUUUAGAAAAGCAAUUUAUUUUCCAAAGUCGUGGUGCCUCAGUUUAGAGGAGCAAUUUAUUUUCCAAAGUUUCGUUGCCUCUGUUUAGAGGAGCAAUUUAUUUUCCAAAGUCGUAGUGCCUCUGUUUAGUGAAGCAAUUUAUUUUCUAAAGUUUCGUUGCCUUUGUUUAGAAGAGCAAUUUACUUUUCAAAGUCGUGGUGCCUCUGUUUAGAGGAGCAAUUUAUUUUCCAAAGUUUCGUUGCCUCUGUUUAGAGGAGCAAUUUAUUUUUCAAAGUCGUAGUGCCUCUGUUUAGAGGAGCAAUUUACUUUUCCAAGGUCGUGGUGCCUCUGUUUAGAGGAGCAAUUUACUUUUCAAAGUUGUGGUGCCUCUGUUUAGAGGAGCAAUUUAUGUUUCUCAAAGUCGUUGAGCCUCUGUUUAGAGGAGCUUUGGUAAAAAAAAAACACAAAAAAAAUAAAAAAUGACAAUGUUGAGUUGAGUCUUGAUUGGGUGUCUACGUCUUUGCGUAAUUUCUGUUUCACAAAAAAUGUGCAAAGAGGGGCAGCUGUAGACACCCAAUUUGGUCCAGGCCCGGAUCAAUUGGGCCUGGCCCAAAUAGGUAAACCCAAUUUGAUUUUUAUCUUGUAUUAUUUUUAUUUUUUUUCUUCUUUUGUGUUUUAUGUAUUUUAUUAUUUAUUUAUUAUUAUUAUGUAUUAAUAUAUUUACAUCUUUAUUUAUCUAUUUUAUUUUAUUUUAUUUUAUUUUGUUAAUAUUUAUAUGUAUUUUAUUUAUAUAGUUAUAUAUUUAUUAUUAUAUUAUUUUUUUUAUCUUGUAAUAUUUUUUGGGUUUAUCUUAUUUUAUUUUUAAUUAUCUGUUAAUUUUAUUUUUAUUCAUUUAUCUGAUUUUUUCGAUUAUCUGAUUAUUUUUUUUCUUUUCUUUUUUUGAGGGCUGUGAUUGAAAGUUGAAGAAUCCUACUGUGAAUGAGGAUUCAAUCAGAAGAGUCUAGAUUGAAUUCAAAGAUUGAAUCCCCAUCCAAAGAGGAAUUGGGAUUGAUCAGGAACUCCUGAUCAAUCCCUAUAAAAGGGACCCUCUGGGAACAGAAGCAGAACACACAGAGAAAAAACAUUGAGCAAAGCUACUGAUUUGAGAGAAAAAGAGGCGUAUAGAAAGCUAAGAAAAAGUUUAUGAGUGUUCUGAGAGUUAGUUGAAUUUUUUGAAGAUUUUUUGGUGAUUUUUGUUUGGGAAUUUCUGGAAAAUUUCAAAUUUCGAUUGAAUUUUUCGAUGAAAUUUAAAUUUUUCGACGAAGAUUCCGAUCAAAUUUGAAUUUUUCGGUGAGCUACCCAAUUUCCAACGAAGAAUUCCAGAAACCAACAACCUUUCGGCCAACUUCCGAUGAACUUUCGAUGAAAUUUUCUAGAUUCUGACGACAUUUUUCAGAAAACGACGAAAUUCAACCGGAGUUCUUCAGCCUUUAGAGAGAAGGGAGAAAAAAAAAGGAAGAAGAGAGAGAGAGGGGAGGAGCUUUCCGCCAAAAAAUAGAGUGAAAGUCCUUAUAUACCCUUCCAAAACGACGUCGUUUUGGCCUUAAGUGACCCAGAGGAUCUGUGCGCUUUACCGAGACCCGACCCGAUCCGAGCGUCGACCCGCUUCCUGACCCGCGCGUGCCUGGCCCCCCUCCAAGCCAAGUCGAGCCGAGCCGAGCUUCCCAAGCCGCCCCCCGAGCCGUUUCUCUUCCUUGAGCUGAGCCGAGCCGAUAGCCGAAUCGCUCCAGAUUUUUUUUUUUUGGAAUUUUUUAUUUAUUUGUUUUAUUUAUUUAUUUAUUUUAUUAAAUUAGAUUUAUUUAAUAUUUUUUAUCUUUAUCUUAUUUUUAUUUUUGUUUUACUUUUCUUUAUUUUUUUUAUCUUUAUUUAUUUUCACUUUUAUUUUGUUCUAUUUUCUUUAAAUAAAAAUCAAAAAGUAUUUUUGGGGAAAAGUUGAAAGUAUCAAUUUUCCUUGGAAAUCAAAGUUUCAAAAAAAAUAUAUUUUUAAGGAAAAGUUGAAAGUAUCAAUUUUCCUUAAAAAUAAUUUUUUUAAAAAAAGGAUUUUUGAGGAAAAGUUAAAAGUAUCAAUUUUUCUUGAAAAUCAAAGUUUCAAAAAAAAUAUUUUUGAGAAAAAGUUGGAAGUAUCAAUUUUUCUUAAAAAUAAAUUUCCAAAAAAGUAUUUUUGGGGAAAAGUUGAAAGUAUCAAUUUUCUCUACACAAGAACAAUCAUUCUUUCCUUCCUUUCUAUUUUGAUUUUGAUUUUGAUUUUUCUUUAACUAAUCCGAUGACGGAGCCUCUGUAAGUGAAACAGUAAUUUUUCUUGCAUACUCUUGAGGUGAAGGAAUUUUUUCAAUUUUCUGCUAAAAGUAUUAGAGUCAAUUAAGAAAAAUUUUCAAUAAUUAAUUACUUGGUAAAAUUUUAAGGCUUUUGGAUAACACAAAUUUAAGCUGGUACCAUCUUUUGAUGGGCGUUGUGAGGGUGCUAUAACCUUCCUCACACGUAAUUGAACUCCCGAACCCUGUUCUGGUUAGUAGACCUGAACCUAUUCUUUUAGGGGUCCUUAAACUUAGGCGUUCCCUAAAAGGACAGAUUCUUUAGGUGGCCAAUCGCACCUAGAUAAAAAAGAUUGGUGGCGACUCCCUAAAGUCAAUGUCUAGCGAUAGAUUCCCGGAUCUAGACGUUAUGACACUUAUUACAAUUUUUUAUUUCAAAUUACAACUUUGUUUAUAAAAAUUCAUUGUUUAUGUUGGGAUUUACCUUGAAUCUCAUAAUCUCACAUCGAAAGUUAAGUGAGUUUAAGUUUAUCUUGUAUCCCAUAUUGAGAGUUUAGUAAAAGUAUAAAGGGUUUCACCCUUAUAAAUAAGAUGUUUUGGUUUUAGUUUAGUAACCUAGAGAGUUAGACACCAAAAGAAUAGCUAAAUGAGUAGGCUAUUAAAGGGUGUAAUUAGGUUUUGGGUUAAGUUUUGAGUAAGGAGUUUUAGGAGACUUUUCUCAUUCUAAAAGUCUCACAAUUGUAAAGAUUUAUUUGAUAGUGGAUUAGGUUUAGAGUAGGCCAUUUUGAGUUUGGCUGAACCAAAUAUAUUUGUAUUUUCUUAUUCUUGAUGUGAGCUUGUUAUUUUGUGUGUGUGGUUGUUACGCGUGGAUGUUGUUUUUCCUAACAUGUGGUAUCAGAGCGAGGUUCGAGGUUUAAGGUUCGUGGGCCCAAGAGAUCAUGAAGCAGUGUUUGAAGAUGUCUGAAGAAGGUAUGUUUGGUAUGUCUAUGCCUAAGUUUGAGAUUCCGUUAUUUGAUGGAAAGAGUAAUUUUAUGUUAUGGUAAAGUACGAUUCAAGAUCUGUUAGUACAACAAGGGUUGGAUCAGGCAUUAGAGAAUAGUAAGCCUGAAGGGAUGUCUGAUGCUAAUUAGAAUAGGAUUCAAAAGAAGGUUGUUAGUACUAUUAGAUUGGCGCUAGCUUCAGAGGUAAAAUACAGUGUGUUGACUGAGAGUACUCCAAAAAGUUUAUGGGAUAAGCUUGAAGGUAUUUAUGCUUCGAAGUCGUUAACUAAUAGAUUAUGUUUGAAGAUGGAUCUAUAUUCUCUGAAGAUGGAAGAAGGUAUGAGUCUUCAUAAUCACCUGAAUGAGUUUAACAGAUUGGUUUCUCAAUUGCUAGCGAUUUCUAUUGAUGAGUUAAAAGAUGAAGAGAAUGCUUUAAUUUUGCUGUCAUCUUUGCCUAAGUCUUAUAGGCCUUUAGUUCAAACUGUGUUGGUAGGUAGGUCUACUUUAAAGUUGGAUGAUGUAACUACUCUAUUGCAUGAGAAUGAAAGGUUUAUGGGAGCUCAGAACUCAUCACCUGGAGGGAGUACACUAGCUGUAGAGGGUUUUGAUCGAGAGAGAACUCAAAAGAGGAUUGAUGGAUCAAGAUGGAGAUCCAAGUCAAGAGACAGAGAUUACAGUGAUGUAGAAUGUUAUUAUUGUGGUGAGAAGGGACAUAUCCAAGUGCGCUGCAGGAAGUUGAGAAGCGAUAUGGCUGUUUUCAAAAGGGCGAAUGAUGAGAAGAAAUCAGAUGAAGAAAAGAGUGAUACUACUGCUGUCGUGUCUGAUGAUGAUGAUAUUAUUUUGAUAACUUGUGUGGAUGAGACCCAGACUUUGAAAAGUGAUAAAGGUUGGGUUUUAGAUUCAGCUGCUACAGUUCAUGUUUGCAAUGAUAAGAGUUGCUUUGUGGAGUUGAAUGAGAAUGAAAAGUAUGGGGAUAUUGUGGUUGCUAACAAAGAAAAGGUGCAGAUUCAAGGCAUUGGGAGUGUUCGCCUUAGAUCUCACAAUGGUGUUAUUAGGACACUUCGUCAUGUAAGGUAUGUACCAAAUUAUCACUACAAUUUGAUUGCUUUGGGUGAAUUAGCUUCUCGGGGGUACACAUUUUAUGAUAGUAAUUAUUGGUUGAAAGUGUAUAAGAAUGAUAGUGUGAUUCUACAAGGGAAUAGGGUUAAUCACUUGUACAUGUUUGAUGGAGGCUCAGUUGCUGGAAUGCCUGUGAUGAAAGAAAAGAAGAAAGGUAAGCAUGUUAGCUUUAUAGAUACUGUUGAAGUGUUUAGAGAUUCAAGUCAAAUGAGGAUUUGUUGGGAUUUGCCUUGAAUCUCAGAAUCCCACAUCGAAAGUUAAGUGAGUUUGAGUUUGUCUUGUAUCCCACAUCGGGAGUUUAGUAAAAGUAUAAAGGGUUUCACCUUAUAAAUAAGAUGUUUUGGUUUUAGUUUAGUAACCCCAGAGAGUUAGACACCAAGAAAAUAGCUAAAUGAGUAGGCUAUUAAAGGGUGUAAUUAGGUUUUGGGUUAAGUUUUGAGUAAGGAGUUUUAGGAGACUUUUCUCAUUCUAAAAGUCUCACAAUUGUAAAUAUUUAUUUGAUAGUGGAUUAGGUUUGGAGUAGGCCAUUUUGAGUUGGGCUGAACCAAAUAUAUUUGUAUUUUCUUAUUCUUGAUUUGAGCUUGUUAUUUUGUGUAUAUGGUUACUACGCGUGGGUGUUGUUUUUCCCAACAGUUUAUAUUUUGAAUUUAUACAGUUAAUUUUUUUAUUAAAAAAAUUUAAAAAUAAAAAAAUAUUUUAUCUUUAAAAUUAAGAUAAAUCAUCAAUUUAUAAGAAGAUUUAUAAAAUUUGUAAAAUCUUUUAAAUUUACUUAUUAUCUAUCAAUACAUCAUAAAAAUUUCAAUUUGAAUAUUUUAUAUUCAAACCUUAAAUUUUAAUUAUUUUCACCAAUUAUUGAAAUUUAUUCAAUUAAUUUAUAUUUACAUAUCCCUUCAGACUUUUUCCCAUGAUCCAUCCUCGGUCAUAAUUUUUAUAUAUAGAAUAAGAGUGAAUAUUUAAGAAUUACAAUAAAAAAGUUAGAAGUGAAAAAAUAAAAAAAAAUUUUAAAAUUAAUUUAAAAUUUUAGUAGUUAGUUUGAUUUGAAUUUAUUUUUUUAAUUUUAUUUAGUUUAAUUUUAAAUAUUAAAUAUAUAUUUAAUUUGAAUCGAAUUUAAAAUUUAAAUAUAAAAAAUUAAAAAAAUAAUCAAAUCAAAUUAUAUAUUUUUAUUAAUUUUUAUAUAUAUUUUAAAUUUUUAUAAAACAAAAAUAAUUAUUUUAUAUAUAAAUUUACUUAAAUAUAUUAAAAAUUAUAUUAAAAAAUAUUUAUACAAAUUUUAAUAUCUUUCACAUAAAUCCUUAAAAUAAGAAGUGAGUGUGUGAAAUGAUUGUAUAAGAUGAGUGGCUAUAUAGCACUGUCAUAACAUUUUAUAUUAUCUUGAAUCAGUUGCUUAUAAUUAGUCAUUUGAUAUUUCGCAACCAUAAAAGAAAGGCAUGUUUUCGUUAAAGCAUCCUUUGCCGAAGCUCCAAUGGCUCGUCUUGGCAACAUAUAUGGUAUCAGCUGUAGUAGCUGUGGAAGAACAACCCAAGGCGCCUAAACACUGCAGUUCCAGUUGUGGACAUCUUAAAAUUCCUUACCCUUUUGGCGUAGAAAAGGGAAGCUAUCUAAAGGGAUUUCGCAUUACUUGCAACACUUCCAUAAACCCAGCAAAAGCAUUUUUAGAUGCUACGAAAUAUGAGGUAGUAAACAUUUCUAUAGCUGAAAAUCGGGUACGAGUAAGGAAUUCUGUCCCUGCAUCUGUGGCUCAUACCUGCUCGGAACUCAAUGGAUCUGAAACUGAUGGACCGACAGCCAUGAUUAAUUUGACUGAUACUCCAUUCGCACUGUCUCAAAACAAGUUCGUUGUAACUGGAUGUAACUCUCUGGGCACGAUCAAACUUGGAAACAGAGAGCUUUUCACUGGGUGCCUCUCUUUGUGUCACGUUAAGCGCGAGGACAAGACUAACGGAUCUUGCUCUGGGAUUGGGUGCUGCGAGGUCCCUAUUACGGAUGGUCUUAAAAUAGUUCAAACGUAUGUGGAUAACAUUCUCACCAAUGAAUCAAAAAUAAAGGAAGUGCUUAAUGAAACAAAGAUCUCGGUGCCCUAUCGUUGUGGAUCUGCUUUCUUAGUGGACCAACACAACUAUAGUUUCGAGGCAUCUGAUCUUGGUGAUGAUAACAAAUUUUUGACUAAGAUACAGCAUUCUACAGUGGUUCUUGAUUGGAUUGUGAGCAACCACACUUGCAAAGAAGCUCGAAGAGACUUGAACACUUAUGCCUGCAAGGGGAAUAGCCACUGUGUGAAGGGUAGUCAAGGUUAUCGCUGCAGUUGCAACCAAGGUUACCAAGGGAACCCUUAUUGUAGUCAGGGAUGCCAAGGUAUGGCUUACUUAUUGUUCCCUAUAUACUACUCAACUCUUUCAUCACCCUUGUUCAACAUCGUCUAUAAUUAAUCUUUUUAAUAUUCUAAAUGCUGUUGAAGUUUGAGCAUAUAACCAGUACAUCAUGUUUCUGUCAAUUUUUUUUUAAUUUCCCCUAUAAAUUAAUGCUCAUGUUUCCUCCAUAAUACUACUAUAUAUAAGUCAGUAACCUAUAUAUAUAUAUAUAUAUAUAUAUAUAUAUACUGAUAUCAUUUGUUCUAUUUGGCGAAAGACAUCGAUGAGUGCAUUAAUAAUCCAUGUGAAGGCAAUCAUAAGUGUAUUAAUACACCAGGAAGUUAUCAUUGCAAGCAAUUUCUUUCUCAGCUGCUCCUGCCUGUUCUAGGUAACUAUAUAACUCAACACACCGUUUUGCUUUAUUUCUUUUUUGUUUCUUUUCUAGGAAGAGCUCUUAAUAUAUAUAUAUAUAUAUGAUUAAUUCAUGCAGCUUUCGUCAGUGUUUUGGUUCUGCUUCUGUUAGUGUUUUCCACUUACUUCUUCUUAAAGAGAAGAAGACUAAUCAAGCUCAGAGAAAAGUUCUUUCUUGAAAAUGGGGGACUAUUAUUGCAGCAGAAAAAUUCUUCCCGUCAAAGUGCUGUUGAGACAACAAAAAUUUUUACGGCCAAGGAGUUGGCAAAGGCUACCGAUAAUUAUUCUAAGAAUCGAAUCCUCGGCGAAGGAGGAAAUGGAACGGUCUAUAAAGGUAUCAUAGGAGACGAUCAAAUAGUUGCUGUCAAGAAGUCGAAAAUAGAAACUCGUUCCCAAAUUGAACAAUUUAUCAAUGAAGUUGUUGUUGUUAGCCAAAUCAACCACCGAAACGUAGUCAAGCUCUUGGGAUGUUGUUUGGAGACUGAAGUCCCUUUACUGGUCUACGAAUUUGUCCCCAAUGGAAGCCUCCACUAUCACAUUCACAAUUCCGAAAAGGCAGCCUCAAUCUCCUGGGACAUCCGUCUAAGGAUCGCCACCGAAACUGCUAGCGCACUUGCUUACCUUCACUCUGCAGCCUCGAUUCCAAUCAUCCAUCGAGAUGUCAAAACUGCCAACAUAUUACUCGAUGAAAAUUAUAUUACCAAAGUGUCAGAUUUUGGAGCUUCAAGGUUGAUUCCUAUCGAUAAAACUCAAAUUACUACAUUAGUCCAAGGUACACUUGGUUACUUGGACCCCCAAUAUUUCCAGACAAGCCAAUUGACAGCAGAGAGUGAUGUUUAUAGCUAUGGGGUUGUGUUAGUGGAACUGCUCACUGGCGAGACGCCAGUAUCUUUUGCAAGACCAGAGCCUGAAAGAAACCUAUCUUCUUACUUCAUUUUAUCAAUGCAACAGGAUCGUCUCCUCCAGAUCCUAGAUCCCGAACUUGCAAACGAGGAGAAUAGAGAAGAGCUGAUAGCAGUUGCCGACCUGGCUAUGAGAUGUCUGAAGUUGAGGGGGGAUGAAAGACCUUCAAUGAAAGAAGUGCUUAUAGAGCUGAUAGAGUUGAGAAAACUUGAGAAACAUCCAUGGGGUCAAGCUAACUGUGAGCAGGCUUUGAGCUUGUUGCAUGAACAAGCAGAAUUAUACCCGGCUCAGAGUUCAUCAUCAAAUACUAAAUACAGUGGAACGCCAACAAACCUAUCACUUUCAUUAGACAACCCAGGACGAUAAGCAUCCACAAGAUAUAGAUUUUUGGUACGUUCUGUUUGCUUUGUAUAAUUUGGUGAACCUAUAUUAUUUUUUAUGAUACCUAAACCAUGUUGUUCUUGUCUACUGAGUUUGCUUAAGUGUUUCAGACUUAACCAUUUGGUAUUAAUUAUUUAAGACAAGUUCAUAAAGGUUUCUAACAACAUUAAACCAAUCGGUAGGCGUUUUCAUAAGAAUACUAUUACAUAUAUAUACGGUUGCAUCAAAUAUAGCAACACAAACCUAAUGGUAGUUGGAUUAAUCGUAAUACCAAUUAACAGAAUACUCAGAUAAUCAAAACACAGUAGUAUAAGUAAGAUGUGAAGCUGACCACCUUCCAUCGAUGCCCUAAAACCUGAGGAAAAAUUGUGUUUCUGUACAAUGUAAGAUAUUCAUACCUCCAGUAGUCCUAUCAAAGAAAAAGGCCAAACCAUGCAGCUUUCUGCUACAGCUGGACUAACAUUAUGAAACUGAUUUGAUACCUUACAACAUACUGGAAAUAAGAAAACCAAUAACCUAGAUGUACAAGCCACAGCAACCAGUGAAAUUAAAUAUGGGUUUUUCCAUUUGGAUCCCCAGGCUCCUCGUCCAACUCCCCAUCACCUAUAGAACUUCUAAUUCAUCUUGUUGGUUUGUCCUGCAAAAGAUAUAAAUAAGAAUGUUAUCUUUUAGACAAAGAUAAUUGUAAAACUUGAAGCAAAUACAAAUCUCUAUACCACAAUGAAAACAAUUAACUAAAACAACAUUUAGGACAUUAAAUUCAUUCAUCUAGUUUCUGCCAUUUAGUUUCAAUUAAUUCAUUGAUUGAGAAUAAAUCCAAUUCAUCAAGGUCAGUCCCAUCACAAUAAGUACGUUUAAGCCACACAUGCCUUCAAUUUUUCAAUUUGUACAGUCUCAACCAGAAAACAGCCAGUGGUAAUGAGCAACUCAAUUUGUUACAAGCUUACAUAAGAAUGUGGAGCAGUACAUACAUUAUAAUAUAUACUAACAGGGUAACUUAAAAUGGGUAUUAUUAGAGAGUUUAUCCAUCAUAAAGCAGCAGCAAUUACUCAACAAACUAAAAAAAUAGCCCAAGGAAACCAUGGCUGAUUUAGACUAUGACUAUGCAUCAGACACAAACUUCAGCCCAUCAUACAUUACCUAGAUUGUACAACUAGGAUGACAAACCAUUCAGAUUUAAGAAAUAUCAGAUUAGUAGAUAACUCAAAGAAAAAUAUGAAAGGAAACUAGAAUCUUGCAGCUAGUUAACAGCUGACGAAUAAAUCUACAAAAUUAGAUAGAUAUGUUAGCUUCUUGCAGGUGUAGUUCGAAAGUUUCAAAUAUUUAAUAUUUGGCCAAAAAAAGGGAACAGUCGAAUCAUUUUCAUUGGUGAGCAAUAAACUUGUCUAACUUUAUGAUAUUGGGAAUGGUAAAUGAAAGCUGUUUAGGCAUCUCAAAAGGGGUUUCUUUUAUGUACUUCUAUGUAAAAUGAAAGCUAUGAGUGAUCAGCUUUCUAGUAUAUCUCUGGUGCGAAUUUCAGAAUCAAUACCUUUGCAGUAGGAUUGCACACAAUUUAACACGGAUGGGGACUCAUCCCAACCUUACCUCGAACUCUAUCCACUUCUAUCCCGAUUAUAUCGUCUAUAGUUUAUUUAUUAAUUAAAUUUGUAAGUUUCCCACGCUGAAUCAAGCAGAUAAUUUAGUCACAAAUUAUGCUUCAAAAAUUUAUGUAGCUAGAAAAUAAACUGAAAGGAUUAAAUGGGACGAAAUGAACGAAGUUUCUCUUCAACAAGCAAACUAUAAGUGUCGUAAUGGUUUUGCGUCCGCCCGACGAAUUUGAAAACCAAAUAAAAAAUAUAAUGGAGUCGCCACCAAUCUUUUUUGGCUAUGUGGGAUUAAUCACCUAUUAAAAUAUAUCAUUUUAAUGAAAUCUUAAAAUUAAUUAAAAUUUAUUAAAAAGAUAAUUUUACAGUCUACGAAACAGUCUGGGUUCGGGAGUCGGUUACGUGUGGGGAAGGAUUAGCACCCCCACAGUGCCCGUUAAAAACGGUACCAAUUAACAACGUGUUAUCCUUUGAUUUUGAUAAAAACAGCCUUAUUUUCAGUAUUCAAAAAAUAAUUUCCUUAAUUUUUUUUAUUUAUUUAUUUUUAAAAAAUUAUUCUCGAGAAAAAUAAAUCAAAACUUUUUUAUUGAAAUAAUUCUUAAAAUAUUCCAGUACGUUCGUAACAUUAAAAGACUCUCUCUCACCUAGAGAUUUCUUAAAGCAUCUCUACUCGGAAUACUUUUAGAAUCUCAUCUUUGGAGGCUCGAAUUUAUUUUUCGUAAGAAAAUGUCGUUAAAAAAAAUUUAUUCUCGAGAAAAAAUAAAUUAAAACCUUUUUAUUGAAAUAAUUCUUAAAAUGUUUCAGUACGUUGGUAACAUUAAAAGAACUCUUUCUCACCUAGAGAUUUCUUAAAGUAUCUCUACUCGGAAUACUUUUAGAAUCUCAUCUUUGGGAGGUCUAAAUUUACUUUUCGUAAAAAAAUUAUGUCAUGUAUGCAAUGCAAAUAAUAACAUAUUGAUGCACACAUUUUAUUCUUUUUCAAAAAUUUUAUUAAUUGUUUUAUUAAUUUUAAAAUUUUAAUUGAAAUUUUGAAGAAAAAAAGGAAUUUAAUCAUAUUAAAGAUUUUCUAUAAAUAUUCCAAUACGCUGGUAAUAUUUUACAAAAAAUCUUCUCACUUAGAGAUUUCUUAAAGCAUCUCUAUUCGGAAUACUUUUAGAAUCCCAUCAUUGGAUUAAAUUUCUUUUCUUCCUAUUUUUAUUACUUAUAUUUUUAAUUUAUUAAUCAAUUUUUAUUUAUUAUUUUAAAAAAGAAAAUCUUUACUGUAUUGAAAAUUUUUAUAAAUACUCCAAUACACUGGUAGUACUUAAAAAAAAUCUUCUCACCUAGAGAUUUCGUAGACAUCACUACUCGAAAUACCUUUGAAUCUCAUCGUCGGAUAAAAAUUUCCUUUUCUCUUAUUUUUUAUUAGUUUAGUAUUAUUAUUAAAUUUAUUUUUAUAUUAUUGUUUUUAAAGUUUAUUAACAUAAUUACAUAAAAAAAAUUAACCACAAUUUCAUCAAUUAGUCUAACAAAUAUAGAUAUUUUAAUAUGCAUAAAUAUUAAUAAAAUAAUAUAUAAAAAUUAAAAAAAAAAAUUUUUACCUGAACCGGAUCGGUCAACGCCUGGUUCGGUUUGACGGUUCGGUCCGACGGUUCGGCUCGGUCUGGGCGGUCGGUUCCGGUCCAGUCAGACCAGUCAGAGGCUGAUGAAGGAAAUGGGUCGCGAGUCGGGUGCGCGGAUCUCGGGUCGGGUCACGGGUUGACAUGCGAAUCCUCCUUGGCUGAAACGGCGUCGUUUUGGCCUUAUGCCCUAAAUGACGUCGUUUUGAGUUUUUGCUUUACUAUAUAUAGCUGAAGAUUUUUUUUUGGUUCAUUUGGCUUCUGUUUCAGAAAAAAAAAAGAGAGAGGGAGAGAGAGAGCUGGGGGAGAGGUCCGCUGGCCAGUCGUCAGACCACCGUACCGACCGACGUCUGGCUCACCCCCGACAGUCACUGCGAUGGUUUUCGAUCACCGAAAAAGGUGAAAAUACUUCUGGAAAUUCUUUUCGAAGCGAUCUUUCCAGAUCCGGUGUCUUUUUUAUCGGAAACAGCCCCGAUCGACGUAGAUCGGGGCUCAAAGUUUCGCUCUCAUUUCUUUCUCUUUUUUUUUUAUGGACAGAAUUGACUGAUCUCUUUUUUUUUGUGUAGGUGGCUUUUCUGGCACUAGGUUUCCCUACUUGGGGACUGUGAUUUUGUCCCUUUUUUGUGUUUUUGCAAAAAAAAUUUUCGACAGAAUCUGCCCUUCUCUUUUUUUUUUUUUUACCGUUUUUGCUUUCGUUUUGCCCUCCAUUUCCCUCUGGUUUGCAAGCUCUAUUUAUAGAGCUUGUUAAGAUUCAAAUCUCAAAAUUUCUAGGAUUCGAAUCUCAUUUUUUAAUUGAAAAAUCAUACCUACCGUCCGUGAUUGGUGGCUUGUCUGAAGGCUGAUCGGGUAGUUGGUCGGACCAGUUCGGCGUCGUACCAACCCCUUGACUUUUGUCUUAUUUUUAUUUCUUUUGUUUGUUUAUUUUUUGUUUUUUUAUUUGUUUUGUUAAAUAUUAUUAUUAUUAAUAAUAAUAUAGUAGAUCCGGAUAAAACCGAUAUCUACAAUAAGCACAAUAACAGUAUAAUUAUAAAAACCAAAGUUGUAUUUCAGCAUCUUACGAAGAUUAUAAGCACGGAAGAAACCAGAGCAACAAUCAAAUAAGGAUAAAACAGAAACAUAGACAUGCAAUAGGAAUGCGACGCCACAUAGACAUGAAUAAGACAACACUAAUUUACAAAAAAAAAAAAAAGAAAAAAAAAAGAAGACAUGGAUAUGAUAAGACACAAUAAUAAAUUUAUUUUAUAUAUUUUUAUAUUAAAAUAGUCGAUGUAUAUGUAAAUAUCAAUUUUUAAUGUUUCAUUUUUUUCAAUUUAAAAUUAUAUUUUAUAAUAUAUAAAAUUUCUUAAUUAUAUAAAAAAAAUUUAUUUUUAAAUACAUACAAGAUAUUAAUUAUUUCAAAAUGAUGAAAUAACAAUAUAGCUCAAACAGCUAAAUAAUGUAUUUAAUUUUUUAAGAAGUGCGACAAGUUAUAUUAUUUUCUAAUUUCAUUUUUUUCUUUUUACUUUUUGGUGUAUAAAAAAAUGUCAAAAAUCAUGUUUGGUCUACUAAAACAUGCCUACUCCACCCAUAAGAGACCCAUUCUAUCCCUUAAUUUUCUUUUUCAUUCCUUCUUUUUUGCAUUUCUUUUUUUUUUGCUUUUUUUUAUUUUCCUGUUUACUUUCCUUAGCUCCUACCGGUUUUUGACAACCCCUCUGUCAUCAUCACCACCAUCUGCCAUUGCCCAUCGAUAUUGAAAAAUUAUUUAAAAAUUAUCAGUAAAUACAUCUAACCUUUUUUCUUUCUUCUUACCUAACAAGAUUUUCAAAAAAAGAAAAAUGGAAAAUCCUAGAUCUAAAAAAAAAUCUCUCCAGAUGGUGUGGAACUAGAUUUUUAUUUUUUUUAUCGUGUCCUAGCUUGGUCUGUAUGUAUUUUACUGUAUCGACGGUGUGUUCGUGUCGAACACAAAUACAACAUCGGUACAGAAAGAGUAGCCGUAUGUCCGUGAGUGAAGCCAUGAGGCAUGAGAUCAGAUCGCUCUUUUCUCCUCUCUCUCCUCCUCUGCUAUGUCAUUGCAGGUGCUAUUGUUCUUUUAGCUCACGUAUCACUUCUAAUGAGGUAGAGUCACCUAAUUGAUUCUCAGUUUUAAAUCUUUUUACAUACAUAUGAUUUUCAUUUUAACAUUUAUUCACUUUAACAAAAGCAGAACACCUCUUUAAAACAAUUUUAGAAUUUUUUGCAACAUUUAGAACUUUAAAGAAAUAAAACCUCUUCUUGAAGCAAAACUUUCAACUAUGAUAUUGUUAGCCAAAAAGCUUCAAUCCAAUCAAGCAAGUGAAAGCGAAAUCAAACAAUCAAUCAAUUAAUCAUACAAAAAAGAAUAAUUUAACGUGAUUCAGUCCAACUAACCUAUGUCUAUGGAUGAGAAACAAGAUAAAUUAGUUGUAAAGAAUUAUAAAUAUACAUAAAAACAAUCUCACAUCAAUAAUCAAUACUCAUAGACUCUCUUAAUUUUUUUUAGUCUUAUGAAGUAUUCUCAAUAUAAACAAAUACAUACCCAUAUGCACCUAUACAUCAUACUUAAAUAGACUCUCUCAAUCUCCUUUAGUUCACCCAUAAAUAAACAUACACACUCAUAAUAUGUAAAACCUUAAUAUUCUUAUAGGGUGUCUAUCCCACAAAACUUUAUAACUUUCUUACAUCUUUUUCUUAUGCCUAAUCCUGUAGAGACUUCACCUAUUUAUAAUUAUACAAACUUACCUAUUAAAAAUCUUUUUCCUUUUAAAAUUCUUCUUUUGCAAGUCUAACUUGUUUAUUAAGAAUAUCUUUCCUUUUAAAAUUCUUCUUUUGUAAGUCUUUUUGUCUAUCAAGUAAUAUUUAACAAAUCUCUUAUAAAUUCAAUUCAAAUUUAAAUUUAACACUUAAAUUUAAUAAUUUUUCGAUUCAAUUUAAUUACACUUUAAUCAAGAAAUGAGCCAAAUAUUUAAAGGAAUAAUGACAAACCUAGUAUCCAAAGAUGUGAAAGAAUCAAUGGCAAAUUUAGCAGCUCAUGUUGCAAAACUUGCUAAGAAAUUAAAUUCUGUCAACGAAGAAUUGUUCAAUGAACUUUAAAAUUCCAUAGGACUUUUAUAAUAGAUCUAAAUUUACAGCAAAUGAAAUAUCCACCACAUAUGUUGAAAAAAAAUGUUGGAAUUAAAGAAUAUAUUAAAGUCUGUGCAAAGGGCAAUAAAAUAAUUGAGGAUAGGAGUAAAAAUUGUUAGGCCAAAAGGCCUCAAUUCAAUUACACCAGCAGAAAUGAAAUCAAAUAAUUAAUCAAUCACACAAGAGACAAUUAUUUAACGUGGUUUGAUCCAAUUGACCUACAUUCACGGAUGAGAAAUAAAAUCCACUAAUUAUAAAGAAUUACAAAUAUACAUCAAAAUAUAUCAACUACUCAAUAAUUAAUACCCAUAGACCCUCUCAAUCUCCUCUAGUCUUAUGGAGUAUUUUCAACCCAAAUAAACACAUAUCCAUGUACACUCUUUCAACACAAUCGAAUACAUACCCAUAUGUACCUAUAUAUUAUACCUAUGUGGACCCUCUCAAUCUCUUUUAGUCAACUUACAAACAAAUAUAUACACCUAUAAGACAUAAAUCUCCAGUACUCAUAUGGGGUGUCUAUCCCAUAAAAUCUUAUAAUUCUCUUACUUUUUUUUUUUCAUACCUAACCUGUAAAGACUUCACCUAUUUAUAACUAUAUAAAUUUGUCUAUUAAAAAUCCCUCUUUUCUUAAAAUUAUUCUUUUGCAAGUCAAACUUAUCUAUUAAGAAUCCAUUUUCUUUUAAAAUUCUUCUUCUGCAAGUCUUCUUGUAUAUCAAGCAAUAUCUAACAAAUUUUAAACAAAUCUCUAACAAAUCUUAAACAAAUCUCUUAUGGGAUUUGAGUCAUUCUUUCUAACAAUCUCUACCUUAACUCAAAUUCCAUCAAUCAUCUGUCUUCAUGCUAAACAUGCUUGACUCCACAUGUAAUAGAAAUCUCACAAUCAUCGUCUUUUGUUUGCCUUUACGUUUUAUGCAAAUUGAUCUUCAAAAUACGUACUCGAACUUCUUUCUUGAAUCAAACUCCUAUAAACUUGCCUCUUUUCAUGUUUCGAACUAUACUCUGAUACCACUUGUUAAGGAUUAUCACAGUUCUAAUACCAUUUGUUAGGUCAAAAGGUCCCAAUCCAAUAACAUUGACAGAAGUGAAAUCAAACAAUUAAUCAAUCACACAAGAGAUAAAAAUUUAACGUGGUUCGAUCUAACUGACCUACGUCCACGGAUGAGAAAUAAGAUCCACUAGUUGUAAAGAAUUACAAACAUACAUCAAAACAUAUCAACCACUCAAUAAUCAAUACCAAUAGACCUUCUCAAUUUCUUAUAGUCUCAUGAAGUAUUCUCAACUUCAACAAAUACAUACCUAUUUACACCUUUUCAAAACAACCACACAUUCUCAUAUACACACAUAUAUUAUACUUAUGUGGACCCUCUCAGUCUUUUCUAGUCCACUUAUAAACUAACAUACAUAUCCAUAAGAUGUAAAUUCUCAGUACUCUUAUACGGUGUUUAUCACAUAGAACCCUAUAACUCUCUUAUAUCUUUUUUUAUACCUAACCCUAUAGAGAUUUCACCUAUUUAUAACUAUACAAACUUGCCUGUUAAGAAUCUUUUUUCUCUUAGAAUUUUUUUUUCUGUAAGUCAAACUUACUUAUUAAGAAUCUUUUUUUUUAGAAUUCUUCUUCUGCAAGUCUUUUGUCCAUCAAGUAAUAUCUAAUAAAUCUCAAACAAAUCUCCUAUGAGAUUUGAGUCAUUAUUCCUUAUAAUUUCUACUUUGACUCAAAUUCUAUCAAUCAUCUUUCUUCAUACUAAACAUACUUGGCUUCACUUGUAAUGGAAGUCUCACAAGCAUCUUCUAUUGUUUGUCUUCACACUUUAUGCAAACUAAUCCUCAAAACAUGAACUCGAACUUUUUUUUUUGAAUCGAGCUCUUCUAAACUUGUCUCUUCUCAUGUCUCGAACCAUGUUCUGAUAUCACUUGUUAAGGAUUAUCACAACUCUAAUACCACUUAUUCGGCCAAAAUACCUCAAUCUAAUCACAUCAACGAAAGUGCAAUCAAAUAAUUAAUUAAUUACAUAAGAGACAACAAUUUAAUGUGAUUCAAUCCAAUUUACCUACAUCCACGAAUGAAAAAUAAGAUCUACUAGUUGUAAAAAAUUACAAACAUACAUUAAAACAUAUCAACCACUUAAUAAUAAAUACUCAUAAGACACUCUCAAUCUUUUUUAGUCCUAUAAAAUAUUCUCAACCCAAACAAACACAUAUCCAUGUGUACCAUUUCAACACAAUCGAACAUAUACCCAUAUGCACCCAUACAUCAUACCUAUGUGGAUUCUCUCAGUCUCAUCUAGUUCACUCAUAAAUAAACAUACACACUCAUAAGACAUAAAUCUUUAGUACUCCUAUAAAGUGUCUAUUCCAUAAAAUCUUAUAACUCUCUUAUAUUUUUUCUCAUAUCUAAUCCUAUAAAGACUUCACUUAUUUAUAACUAUACAAACUUGUCUAUUAAGAAUUUUUUUUCUUUUAAAUUUUUUUUUUGUAAGUCAAACUUACAUAUUAAAAAAAAAAUUUUUAAUUUUUCUUUUGUAAGUUUUUUUUUUUUCAUUAAGUAAUAUAUAACAAAUUUUAAAUAAAAUUUUAAUAAAUUUCAAAUAAAUCUCUUAUAAAAUUUGAGUUAUAAUUUUAAAUAAAAAUAAUACUAUUGAUAAAAAAAUAAAAAAAAUAAAAAGAAAAACAUACCAAAUGUCAAAUCUUGAAGCAGAGGCAUCCAAUGCCAAAGAUAAAAAGUAGUUACUUUUCAAAAAGAAAAGAAAACAGACAUCUCAGCAAGUCUAUCAACGGCAAAGACAAAGCAACUACUGUUUCUCAGAUUUACAAGAUGAUAUUUAUGCGAAGAAGAAAGUAGUCUGGAUAAAAACCAUCCCUCAGUGCAAAUUUAACUCAGAACAGAUAUUGCCAGCUAAUGAAGAAAGUAGAAUUUCACAGUCGUACCUAACCUAUAGUCAGAAAGAAAAAGAUGGUUUCGAGCUACUUGAAUUACUCAUUUAUAACGACAUACAGCUGUGAAGAUAAGAGAAUCAAUUGUUUAAAUAUCUGUUAUAAGCAAUGAUGUAAAGUUCUCUUUUAGAUGAAGAUAUUAAUUUAAAAUUUAAUUUAAUUAAUUUAUAAAAUUAUUUAAAAAAAAACUUAUAACAUUUUUUAUUUCAAACUCCAACUUUGUUUAUAAAAAAAUCACUGUUUAUAUUUUGAAUUUAUACAUUAAAAUUUUUUUUGAAAAAAAUUUUAAAAUAAGAAAGAUUAUUUUAUCUUUAAAAUUAAAAUAAAUCAUCAAUUUAUAAAAAAAAUUAUAAAAUUUUUAAAAUUUACAUAUUAUCUAUCAAUAUAUCAUAAAAAAUCCAAUUUGAAUAGUUUAUAUUCAAACCUUAAAUUUUAAUUGAAAUUUAUUCAAUUAAUUUAUAUUUACAUAUACCUCCUGUUAUAACAAUUUGAAUAAAACAAUAUAAUCAAAAUGUACUUCUUUCAAUUUUAUUUAUAGAAUCAAAAGGAAAGUUUUUGUCAACUGAAUUAAUUUUUAAUUAGUUUUUAACACCUUACUUUCUUAAUAUCGUAAUGUUAUUUUUUUUAAUAAUUUAUUUUGGAAGGCAAGUCCCUUUAGACUCUUUCCCAUGAUCCGUCCUUGAUCACAAUUUUUAUAUGUAAAAUAAAAGUGAAUACUUAAGAAAUACAAUAAAAAAGUUAGGCGUGAAAAAAAUUGAAAAAAUAAAAAAUUAAUUUAAAAUUGUAGUAUUUAGUUUGAUUUAGAUUUUUUUUUAUUUAAUUUGAAUCAAAUUUCAUUAUUAAAUAUAUAUAUAUAUAUAUAUUAAGUUUGGAUCAAAUUUAAGAUUUCAAUGUAAAAAAUAAAAAAAUGAAUCAAAUUAAAUUAUAUAUUUUUAUUAAUUUAUAUAUAUUUUUAAAUUUUUAUAAAAUAAAAAUAAUUAUUUUAAUAUAAAUCUAUUUAAAUAUAUUAAAAAUUAUAUUAAAAAUAUAAAAAAAUCAAAAAAAUAAAUCAAAUCAAAUUAUAUAUUUUUAUUAAUUUAUAUAUUUUAAAUUUUUAUAAAAUAAAAAUAAUUAUUUUAUAUAUAAAUCUAUUUAAAUAUAUUAAAAAUUAUAUUAAAAAUAUAUAAAAACUUUAAAUUUAAGUUUAAAAUUCAAUGAACUAAAUUAAAUUAGUAAAAUUUGAUUCGAAAUCAUUAAUUCAUAUUCGAAUUAGAUUUUAAAAAUUUAUAAUAUUAUAUAUUAUUUAGAAAACUAAAUUAAAUUCAAUCCAAUAUGUACGGGUAUCACCUCUAAAAAAAAUUAUUAUGGCAAAAAAAAAACCCAAGUUAUUACCAUAUAUAAAAUCCUCCUUUUAGAAAUUGAAGUGCACAUUUGACCAAAUUAUUAGCUACUUUAUUGGUUAUCCUUUGAGAAGUUUACUAAGCAUAGAGUGAAAAACUUCAAGUAAUUUCGACCAAAAAAAAUUUUUUUAAGUAAUUCCUUAAUUUGUCUCCUUUGAAGAAUGUUGUGAUGUGUUUCGUCUCCUUAGAAUUUGUUCUUUUGUAAUAUUCCAUGAUGAUAGAACUUGAUACGAGAAAGUACUUAUAAACUAAACUAAAGAGACUUGCAUUCUAAGAAGUCUUUUUACAAUAUCAUCUUGACAUAUUCAAAGAUAAUAUUGCAAAAAAAUCAUAUUUAAAAGAGACUUAACACAAUAUAAGCAUUUAAAAAAAAAGACAAAUUAAGAAACUACAUGGAAAUUAACACAUGUUCCUGGAACCUUCAGCAAUCAAAUCCUACUUUAUUUCCUGGACUUCAGAAGUUUACUAGGUAUUGAGUAAAAUUUUCCAAUUAGCUUCUUUAUCUCCCUUGAAAAAUGCUUGUUUUGUGCUUAGUCUCUUAAAAAAAAAACCUUUUGCAAUAUUCCAAGUUAAUAUAUAGAAUUUGAUAUCGGAAACUACUUCUAAACUAUUUUAUAUACUUAAUUAAAAGAAAAAAAAAAAGUACUUGGUGUGAUUAUAUGAAAACUAAAAAAUCAAAAUUUUGUUAUCGAUUAAUUAUAUAUGGUCAUCCAAUUAGAAAUUGGUGAAAUUUAGGAGGAAAACCCCAACAAGUUUUAAUUGUAGUUUAUAUUCUAAAAUGCAUAAGAUAAUUGAAUCCAAAAUAUAUUAUCACUUUAAAAAAAUAUCUAGUAAAUUUAAAAAAUUUUAAUAUUUGAAUUUUUUUUAUAGUGUCAUUUCUUUUAUAUAAAAUAAAAUAAUCCCACUGGAGUUGAUUGCGGAUUGCUCGGAAUGUAACUUAAUGAUUUAAUUGAUAGAUUAUAUGCAUUCACUUUGACAAAAUGAUAAAAUCCAAUCUUGGGGUAUGAUUGUAUUGUUAUAAUCAAAAUGAUAAUUAAUUAGAAAAUGAUUGAGUCCAUCUGUUAGCAUCUACCAACUAUGGUUGUCUUGAGAGGUCAUUUGAUCUGUUAGGCAAUAGUUGUGGUAGUAAAAAGCUGAAAUUGCUUUGUGUCCUGAAACUGAACUUCACUUAUAUCAUCCAGACUAGUAUAACUAACUGUUCCAUCAUCCUUCUGAGGGGUAAAAAAUCCAUACACGUGUACUUGAUUUUUAUUAAGGUGUUCUUAUAAUUUAUUUUGCAGGCAAUGCUUUGAAUCCUAUGAAGCAUGGACACGGACAUAUUUACGACACGAUACGAAUAUGACAACAUCAUAGCAAUUUCUAAAAAAUAAAAACUGGAAUACAGCAAGACACAAUAAUAAAAAAAAUCUUUUAUAUGUUGUAAUCAUCAGUUAAGAAUAUAUGGUAGAUAUUUGGCUGAUUUUUAAAAAGUAAUUACCUUUGUAAAGAAAAACUAAUGUAAAUAUGGCAAUAAAAUAACAUAGGAUGUCGUUACCCGCAAGAAAAUUGUCUUUUUCUUCUUCCUUCUUCCCUGCUGAAUCUGGUCAAAUUCAGUAGUAUUCCAACAUGUUCUGGUAAGUAUGUUGGAAGCGUUAAAGUGUCGAACGCGAAUACAACAGAAGUACGCAAGAAGUUCAAACGCAAGAGGUACAAAGUAUUACCUUGUACAUUUAGAAGUUUGAGUGCUUCCUUUGUUUCCUGUCAGUUUAUUUUGUGCUCACUUGAUCAAAGUGAUAAAUUUCGGUUUACAGGCAUUCGGAUAGGUUGCAUGAUUUGUGAGACAACAUAACUUUCCAGCAUUUAAAAUAUUUAUGGUUACUUUUUGUUUCAAGUUUUGAUACUCAAUGACAUUUUGGAACCCAGUUCUGUACUGAAACAGAAUGUGAACAUGGAAAAUAAAGAAAAGAAAAUGAAAAUUACCAACAGAAAACAAAAGUUCUGAUACAAUGGGUAAAUUUUAAGCUUGUAAGGGAUGGUUUUCCUCCAUAAGAGCAUGAUACAUGCUAGAAUUGUGAUCCCAAUGUAGCCAGUUGACAAAUACUGAUAUCCCGAGUUCAGUUGUUUGAACAUAGCAAUAAUUAUGGGUUGCAUAAAAAAUUCAAGCUCCAAAAAUUGCCUAAAAUAAGCUGUGAUGUUUUUUGCGUUCAUUUUGAAGGAAGUAUUAUGCAGGGUUUGCAUAAUAUAUGAGACAGUUAUCGGAGUAGCAUACUGAUUCAAUUUAGACUCCUUUGGAAACAGGCCUUUUUCGCAAGCUCCUUUCACAUGAAAUUGAGCUGAAAUUCUGCAGAAUAAAUUGAGAAUAGUUAUUUAUAAGCUUCUGCAGAAUAAAUGGAUGCUUGAGUUUGUGUUCUUUUAUGUCAAGACAGGACAUACCCCUGAUUUGAUGAUUGAAAUGAGCUCCUCAAACCAAUACUCGAGCUUAGCAGCUAAAGCACUUUGUCGCAAUCAACGUAGAUGUUUCUUUAUGCCGAGCCAGAAUGCUUAUAAAGAUCUAAGAAGCAUAUCAAAACGUUUAGUCACUAUUAUAAAUAGUUAAAACUUCAUACAUAAAGGCAAACAGUUUUCAAAGCAAGUAUAAAAGAAAACCACAUGAAGCUGUGUUGCUUUACAUUGUUUAUCAUACAACCUCAGAUUCUUCAAAAGCUCAAUCCAGGCAAAGAUUUUAACUUGUGGCUCCACCGAGCUGAAAGAAACAAUCAUCGGAAAAACAAAGGCUGCUGAUCAAUGUUUUAUGCAAAGAAUAUGUUACGCAUCAAUAUAAAGAAUUGAGCUACAGUGGAAUGAAACUUCCAAACAUUAUUGCACAACAGAAUAAUAUUACAAAGAAUUUUAACACUUACAUAUAGAAUAUCAAUUUGGCUUUUACAGAAGGUCCCAGGUCAGCCAAUUUUACCUGCUUGAUAAAGUUCUUACCCUAUCUCAUCAUUUAUGCUUGCACCCCUGACACGGAGGAAAGAUUUCUCUUGUAGGAAAGGAGCUGCUGCCCUAACAACUUCGAAACCACCAAUGAAUUGAAGUUAUUUCGUCCUGUCAGACAAGUUCCACAACAUCAGAUUUUUGUUUUGAAGUAUUUGGGAUAAAAAUGGUAGCACCAAAAAAGAGGAGAAAAAAAAAAACAGAGAAAGGAAUCCUAACAAGGUUGGAAGUUUCCAUUAUUCUAAGUAUCAUGAUUUCUUAUAAUAUAUGGUUUCUGAUCAUAAACAUGGAAUCUAUAUACUCAAGAGUAUGAUACAUGGAUUAUGGAUGGUGGAACAUGAUUCAAGGAUAUUGCUGGUUCUGGAAGAGCACCUUAUUCAUAUUAAAAGACACAAAUAAUGUACAUCAAACAUAAAGUACAAAUGAUUUUGCUUCGCUAUAAAAGGAGAACGUUUUAAAAUGAUUUCAGAACCCUGGCAAUAAGUAAUAACUUACCACUUUCAUAGGAAACAAUGUUUCCCUUGGGAGAAUUUUGGCGCCAUUGACGCUGUCCUCACUCCUAAGUCUGGCAGUAAAUCUUUAAUAUCUCAUCAUUUGUCAGAAAUUGAGUUCUCAAUGGAAUUGAGGCAGAGACUUUGGUAUUAACACAUUCCGGCUGCCACAUGGUCAAAUUUGACAGCAGUGAAGGCAAUGCAUACUUCAGCUAAGUAAACAGCAUUCAUCUUUUUCAGGUCUUUCCAUCUGCUUUUGCAAACCACUUUGUGUGCUCCUAUGAAGGCACUACUCACUAGCCUCUGCAACUUCCAACUGACUGAAACCAAAAUUAGAUAUCAAAUUAAUCUUCACGCAUAUAAGAAGAUAACAAACAUUUAACAAUUGAAACCAUUCUUGAAUGAUUCUGGUAAAAAAAAAAAAUCAGAAGUCAAUGAAACAAAAUGAUUAAUAGAAAUAAACAUUUAGCACAUCGGUUCUGCUCUUGAAAUUGUCCUAUAGGAAAUUUUUACAAGAAGAACGAAAGAAAUAUGUGUCAUAGACUAUAAAAUAGAAUUUUCUAAAAUUUUAUAACUUUUAAUAAACAAUCCAAUGCCAUAGUCACUCGGUCUUUUCUGUGACCAAUCAUAGGUAAGGCAGAAAGGAAGUACACAUAAAGAACAGCCAAAUACGUGAGAUAUCAUGAAUGAUUCAUAAACACAAGAAAAAAACAUAUAAUAUAGAAAUCAGCUAUAUGACCUACUCAUUCUGAAACUAUUCUAAAAUUUUCUUUUAAAAUGGUAGCAAAACAUUGAAUCUUUGUAUCAAACCUGGAGAGAACCAUCCGCAAGUUCCAAUAACUUCAAAUUAAACCAUUAUACUCCAUGAUGGAAGAAGAAGCUCUUACUCAUUUCUGCAAAUACAGAUUACAAUACAAUUUAAAGUUUUGUAGAAAAGAGAUCCACUCCUUUCUAACAAAAUGGGCUUCAAAACUACCUGUCCCCAAUUUGAUAAGCAGGAUUCUAUCAAUGGUUAAACUUAAAGGUUAAAGUCCGAAUUUGAUCCCUCUACUAUCUCAAUCCUAUUGAUUUAGUCCAAUUUUAAUUUUAAUGAAUUUCUAUUUUUAUUAAACACAGAUUUUUUUUAUAUAUAUAUUUUCCAUUUCAUUGUAAAACAAAAAGCUAUGUGUAUAAGGGAUUGAACUAAUGAACCUUUUAUUAUGGAAUGAAAAAACAAUAAUCAUGAAAAUAAAUCACUUCAUCACUUGAUUUAAUAGUACGUUAAUGUUCUUCACAUAAGUAGAAUAUAAUUGCAAAGUGACAUGUUCCUUAUUUCUUGGCGUUCCUUUCGUUAACACACUAGCAUGAAGCUGCUUCAAACUUCAAUGUAAGAUAUGUGGGCUAUGUUAAGAAACAAGCAUUAAUUCCAAUGUAAGGUAUGUGGGCUAUUUUGGGCCACUCUUGUCCUCCAUCCCUCUUGCAUCGUUCUUCUAGCAAUGGACAUCUAGAAAUUUCGAGUUGCAAAAGUGAGUCAAGCAUCUCCUUUUCUGGAAGGAAUUUGAGCUUGGGGCAACUAUGGAUACCCAAUGAUUCAAGAGACUUGAGAUUUUGAAAGCCCUUGGACGAUAGAGUUUCAAGGUUUGGAAAAUCUGUGAUGGUGAAGGAGGUGAGAGUGCGGGGCAGAAGCAUUUCCUCACAUGGGAAUGACACCAUAUCUAGAGAAGCACCGUUGAUGGAGAAAUGUUGAAGAGAAGUGAGUUUGUGCAAACCCCACUCGAUCACCAACUUGCAAAUAUUGGGUUGCGAGAUUGUAAGUGAAGUGAGAUUGGUAGGGAACCCCUCUUCUGGGAAAGAUAUCACACUUGGACAAUUAAAUAUCAACAAUUCUCGCAUAGAAACGAUGUUGUGGAUGCAGUUGCGUAAGGCCUGGAGUUUUUCACACCCAGAAAGGUGAAGCUUUCGGAGUUUGGUGGUUAAUAAUCCACUUCCUGGAAAUGAAAUCAAACUUGAACAACACUCAAUAAAAAUCUCCCCAAGAUGGUUGAGCUUGUUCAAUCCGUGAGGCAAAGAUCUGAAAUUUUCGCAAAAGCUGAUACUUAUCAAUUCAAGGGAAGAGUUCUCUUGAAUUUCCUGAGCAAUGGACUCUAGUGCUCGGCAACUAUUAAUUCUGAGGUAUUUAAGCCCCACAGGUAACUUGCCAUUGGAUGAUAAGGAUGUUAAGUUUUCACAACCACAAAUUUCAACAAGUUGAAGCCUAAUAGGUAACUCGCCCCUUGAGGAUAAAGAUAUCAGAGACUUACAACCUCCAAUCUGCAAGUGCUCUAGAAGAGACGUGCUGUUGAUGUUGCUAUUUUCUCCAUCCAGAAAGAACUGCAAAUUCUCACACCCCAUAAUGGCUAUACGUUUUAUAUUUGGAGGCAAGUUUCCACUUGAAAAUGAAAUCAAUCUUGGGCAGGCUCCAAUUCGUAGCACUGUAAGGGAUCUGUAGCUGUGUAUGCUUUCUGAUAGCCUUUCUAGCCUUUCACAAUAUUGUAUGGUCAAAUCUUCAAUAUGGCGAGGGAUUCGUCGUAAUUGCAUAUGCUCUUCCUUUUCGUCCUCUGCCCCUAAUGAAACAAGUCUUGAGCAAUUGUGAAUUUCCAAAAAGCUAAUAGGCCUCAAAUGUGUUGAGGGUCCUUCCUGGUUCUGCCAUGAAGAAAUUAGCUCCUCACAUCCACGUAUAUAAAGACGUUCAGCUUUUAUCAACCUUAACAUCAUCCCCUCCAUUGGACAAGUGAAUUUUGAAAUGUUUGAAAGAGAGACUCUUUUCAUGAAUGAGCCAGAAUGUACAAUUUGUAGACACCACCUCUUGGCACCUAUCAAUUUUUAAGUCAGACAACUUCGGAAUGCUUGAGAGUGAAACUACCAACUGCUCACAUUCUUGAAUCACAAGUUUCUCCAAUGAAGGAAGACAACUAGGUAGAUUUCUCAGUUGUUGACACCGAAUAAUCUCUAGCUUCUUCAAUGAAGGAAGACGAUUAGGUAAACUUCCUAACAACUUUGGGCAACCUGAAAUGAUGAGCUCAUGGAGGUGUUGGAAAGUCACAUUUUCAUCAACUUCACAGGGAUCCCAUUCCUCCCAUUCUGGCAUGUUCAGAAAACAUAAUUUCUCUAGUGAUGAAAACAAAUUAAUCGACAGAUUUUCUCCAAAAAAAUUAACACCCACAUUUUUUAACUUACUCAUUCGCCUCAUAGAAAGAAAUUUUAGCGAGGGUAAUCUUCCAACAGCUGGUAAUAAUGUGCAAUUUGGACAGUAAUACAGAUUCAGAAUCGAUAGCUUUUCAAAUGAAGGAUCUCCAAUCCAAUUUGGGAAUGUUUCACCUCCAUAACAUUCGAUGGUGAGCCUUUCAAUCAUUUUAGGAGGUUGGAGUGAAUCCAAUACGUCCUUGUGAUUUUCUUCUCCUGCAAAAUUGUAACUCCACUUUAAAGCUAAAUCCCGAAGGUUCGACUUAUAACAUAACCCAGCCACCCAUGCAUCUUGAGCUUUGACAACAUUCUGCAAUUCUGAAAUAACAAGUCCACCCUUAAGAUUAGACAAAUUCUCCAUCUCCCUUAUCUGACGGCCAUUGUCUUGACUCACAACAAAAUUUGUCAAUGUUUGGAGAUUGGUUAGUUCACCGAUUCCCAUUGGCAUCAUUUUUAUUGAACGUGCACCUGUAAUGUCAAGAUGCCUCAGGUUGAUUAAAAAUCUCAUUUCAGAAGGAAACUCUUUGAGACGAGAACACCCCCGCAACAGCAAGGUCUCUAAAUUGUAAAGCUUGCAAAUUGAAUCGGGCAGAGUUUUGAUUUGAGUGUAAGAAAAAUUUAGAUAACGCAGAUGCACCAAUUCUCCAAUAAUAUUGGGAAACUCCGGCAGGUGGCACCCUUGUAAAGAAAACACCCUCAAGUAUUUAAAUUCUGGCAACAACUCACCGAGAACUUGAUUAGAGAUAUACCUCCACCCUUCAGGCAUCUUCAACCGUAGGAGGUUCUUAAACCCUUCUUUCCGUAAAAGACUAGGAAUUUUUUAAUUCUGUCUUUCCUACCACCAAUGUAAGACGAAUGGCGAGCAUGACUGGAAACGUUCAAUGCCUUGUCACCCUCCAGUCUGAAGCAUAUAUCUUUGGCAACUGAUUGAGCCAAAUCAUUAAUCAGAUCAUGCAUUAUAUAUCGAGACUCAUCCUUGUUGGAUAUUUCAAAAAAUGACCUCCGUACAAGUUCUUGAAAGUACUCAUGACCCAGAUCUUCAUUUUGCUUUGUAGCUGCCACUCGCAGAAAGCCUUCUGCCAUCCAUAAUAAGACUAUUUCUUCCUCAGAAAAUUCAUAGUCUUUGGGAAGUAUGGCACAGUAAGCAAAACAUCGCUUUAGAUCUGCAGGAAGAUGAUGAUAGCUUAAUCGUAAAGCUGGAAUUAUGUUACUCCUCUCUUCUGGUAAAUUCCAAAUCUCACUUUUUAGUAUCUCUUCCCACUUACGAAUGUCCACCUUAUUGCGCAAAAGGCCUCCAAUGGUCUUAGCUGCCAAGGGCAAACCCUUGCACCUUUUCGCAAUCUGUACACCAAAUUCUUCCAAGUUCGGAUGCCCACUAAAAUCUUUUGCUCCUAAUGCAUGUUGAGUUAAUAUAGAAAUGCAAUCUUCAUCUGACAACUUUGGCAGCUUGUAAUUUGGGAUAGUACCCACCAUUGAUGAAACACUUUGAUCACGUGUUGUCACAACAAUCGUAGCUCCUAUUCCAAAAGGGGAUAUUAGACGAGUCCAAUCUUCAUAUUUUUGUUGCCAAAGAUCAUCCAAAAUCAGAAGUAGUUCUUUUCCAACCAGCUUGUUCUUCAAUUCUAUGUGACGCUUAUUCAAAUCAUCUCCAGCAUUAUAAGAUUCAGAACUAACUGAUUGCAAAAUUGAUUUUGUUAUCUCCAGGAUACUAAAGUCUUCAGAAACACAUACCCAUCCUUUAAGAUCAAAAUGAUUAUCUACACGACUGUCAUUGUAGACAAGCUGAGCAAGCGUUGUUUUGCCAAUCCCUCCCAUACCAAUGAUGGGAAUCACAGAAGCUCCAAAAGGAUUGCUAUCAUCACUCCCAAAAAUCAAUUCAAGGAUUGCUUCCUUGUUUUUUUCCCGACCGCAGACUUGAGUUUCAUUCACCAAGCAAGUGGUUGAUCGCCAUUCCAAUGCUCUUUUAGGCCUCCCCACCACCACUUUUAGUCAAAGCCAAGACACUUUUUUGUGCUUCUAAAUAUUGAAAUCUAGCAGUGAUCUCUUUUAUCUUGGACAUCAUUUCCUUAUUAAAUGAUAAAUUAUGACUGCUGAACCCGGUGAAGCAUGUAUGAACGAGCUUUGGUAACUUAGUUGCGCUGUGAUCUUGAUAUUCCCUCGUUAACUUGAGUCUCAAAGCUUCAGUAGCAAACUCAUCCAAUAUGUCAUCCGCAUCGUAUGCCAAGUCUUGGAGCGCGACCAACCAACUUUUCUCAUGCCGGUCCUCCUCUGCAUCAUCAAGCACUGCAUGAAUAUUGCGCAUUGUCUUUUCCCACUUCUUGAGUUCCUCGCAAACUUCCUUCUCAGUUACAAAGUUGAUAAACUCAGAAGAGGCCAACUUACUAAACAACCCUUCAAAGAACACGGAUAAAGCAGCUUCAACGACGGACAUGGCUUUUGACCUGCAAAAACAGAGAGAUAAUGUGUAAAACUGAUAUAGGGAUAAACUCAGAAAGACUUAAAAUAGAAGUAGAACACAACCAACAACCCCACUAGUACUGAAUCUGAUCUUGGUAUAUUUCUCUGUGGCUUAUAUCCCUCGGUAAUUUUUUCUAAUACCCCUAUUAGCAAGAGUAUAUUUGGAUGGGCAAUAAAAUUAGAUAUGAUAAGAUUAAAAAUAGUGAUUAAAAUGUGAUUGAUUAUUAUAAUGAUAAAAUUAAAUUGUAUAGUUACAAAAUUAAAAUUAAAAUGUGUGAAUAUAAAUGCAACAGUGACGAUAAGAUUAAAUAUAAUAAAAUUAUAAAUGAACAUUAAAGAUAGAUUAAAAUUUAUAUUUAAUAAAAAUUUUAAAUUAUUUAAUAUUUAUAAAAUUAAAAAAUAAUUAAAAAAUUAAAUUAUUAUUAUAUAAAAAUAAAUAAUGAGAAAGUUAAUAAGAAUAAAUAAUUUGAAAAUAUUCAAAUAAAAAUAAAAUAAAUUAACAAAAAAAAGUCAACAAUAUAAAUUUAUUUAUCCCUUAAAUAAUUAAAAAAUAAUAGCAUAGAAAACAGAGAAAAACAUUAGGAGAAAAAGGGGCAAAUAUGAAACAAAGUAACGGUGAAAAAAAAAAAAAAAACAAAAGUUCCACUGGACCCUUACCCAUAAGGGUCCAGUUGAAAUUUUAGCUUCAGUGGGGUUUAGAAGUUAUCAAUUGUCACGAGGGAUGAUAUCCAAACGAAGGCUCAGUGAAGUUUUUAGUGUUGUUUGCACCUCACCACCGCUCUGGUAGAGUCCAAAUGGAGCCUAAUUAAGAAAGUUAAGGGAUUCCUUAAAGUUCACAUGGUUUUAUGAGAAAAAAUCAACAAAGGUGGGCAAAUUUAAGACAAAAGUUUUUUUAGGUAAAAUUCGUAAUUCUAAUACUCAAUAAAAAUUUAAUAAAAAUUUAAAUUCAUAAAUUAAUAAAAUUUAAUGAAAACAUCAAUAAUACAAAAAAAUAUAUUUAAAACGCGUUUUUAUAAUUUAAAUGGGAUUAAUACAUAUUCAAAUGUAAAAAUUAUGUCAAAAUUUUUAACAAAAAUUUUUAUUUAAAAAAAUAUCAAAAUUCAUUAAUUUUUUUUUAAACCUUUGCACACUCUAUGUAAUAAAAUUUUUUAAUUUAUCAAUUAAAGAGAUUGAGAGUGUUUAGGAACUUAGGAGAAAGGCGAGGAUGGUAAGAAGAGCAUACUAAAAUGUGGGAGAGUUUGGAGCAAUAAAGAAUGAUUUUUGGGGGGAAGAAGCCAUCAACUUCCAACCUAGAUUUAGGGCUUUAAAGAUCAAGUUUGAGAAAACUAGGGACAAAACGAAUUUUAGGAGAUUAAGAUGUGCCUAGGUUGAAAUUUUGGGCUUGGACAGUGAUCGGUCGAUGGUGGUUGAUAAAGGUUGCAAGCCGAUUUUUGGGUUUUGUUUAUAGUCGAUUGAAUUUUUUUGAGCGAGUGAAGAUAGUUAGAGAAAGAGGGAAUGUAGAAAGAGAAAAAGAAUGCAAAAUGAAGAAAAAAUAAACUUGGGAUUUUAUUGUAAUACCCCAGCCCAAAUAAUAAUUGAGUUAGACUAAUACUAAAGCCCAUCAGUUUAUUAAGACAUUAUUUAGUAAAAGAAAAAUGACUGAAGCAUUAGAUGAAAGGAAAUCUAACUAUCGUGAAAUAGAAAGGAAAUAGAGUUCUUCUUCCUCAUCUUUCUUAGGGUUAGAGAAUAUGAAAAAUCAAGUUGGAGAUUCACAAUCAGAGGCUACAAUCAAGUUAAUCCCUUAAAAGGUGAGUACAUGCCCUCCUUUUAUUUAAAAGGAAAUAUCAAGUUGAUUGCUAUUAUUUGGAGUUAAAGUUUUGAGAGAAAAAUCAAGAAAAAUCAUGAAAUCCUUCAUUAAUCUUGAUGAUCUAUUUGGGUAAAUUACUGGGCUUUAUUUAUUUCAUGUUUUUAAGAUUUAUUGAUGAUUAUUGAAUGGAGUUUGAAGGCUGAAAGUAAGGAUUUGAGUUUUUAAAGAUUGAAGGAAAAAUUUUAUUUUUGGAUGAAAUGUUGUGAUCUGUAAUAAUGAAUUAAAAUAGAAUUUUGCAUUAAUGGAUAGAUUAUUGCUAUGAUUAUUAUAUAUCAUUGGAAAGCAUGUUGAAUCUAGUUUCUAAUGAAAUAAACGAAAGUCAAAUCUGAGUUUUCUAUAAAGAGUUGUCUAAUUUUAACUUAAAGAUAUACAGGCUGUAAGAUAACAGUAUCAGGGUUGAAUUACGAAAUUCUUCUUAAUUUGUAUACAAGGAUUUACAGGUUAAGCCAUAAAUUUUGGAAAGCUUAUUGAGUCUACUUUCAAUGAAAUAAGCGGAAUUGAAUUUGGAGUUUCCUGUUAAUAAAUAUAUAGUUUUUAUUAAAAGGUAUACAGGUUGUUUGGCAGUAGUAUAUGACGUAGAUUUCAAAAUUGUUAUAAUUAAUCUACAAGGAAUUACGAGGUGUGCCAAGUCUACUUUCUAACGCAUUAAAGAGAUCAUAAUUCUGAUUUGGAUAUAUUGAGAUAUGACUGUUUUAAUGAAAAGAGGUCAGGCUAUCAAUAUUAAUUAGUUAAGUUAACCCUUUGUGUAACUUAGUUGAUUUUUGUAUAAAUGGUCUCAAAAAGGGUUGAUUAAAUUCUGAUCUGUUGAAAUGAUCUUGGAUAGGCCAUUAAUUAUUUUGGGGGAAAAACUAAAUGGUGGAAUCGAAUGGAGGUAAGUAGAAUCUCACACACUUUGCUUGUUUUCGAAUCUAUGAAUAUAUAUAUAUGUGUUUCUAAAUGAAAAAAUGUUUUAUUUCUUUAUUUUCGAUGUAUGAAAAUAGGAUCAAGCAUAUGAUUAUUUUGUGUUUCUCUAUAUAAAUGAUGGAUCACGCUUAUGAAUGAAAUGAAAAAAUGAUUUAUGAUUAAAGAAUGAUUUUGUGAUGGCUACGUUUUUUUUACAUCCUUGGAAAGUGGGAUCAUCGACACCAGAACUAGUUCUACGACCCUGGCUAAUGGGUAAUAGUAGUUAGCAAAGACAUGAUCAUACGACCCUAGCUAACGGGUAAUAAUAAUUAGCAUAAACCCUGGCUAACGGGUUAUAAUAGUUAGCAAUGAUCAUGAGAAUGAAAUGUCGAUACGACCAAUGUCACGGGUUAUAGCAAUGACCGUAGCUAACGAUAAAUGAAUGAUAAUGAUGAUUUUAACGAUUGAUCCAUGAUUUGGUUUGAUUAUGAUAUUUGAAUGAUAGCGUAUUUUACAACGAUUUAUGAAGUGACAUAUUUUGACAUUGAUUUAUGAAUUUAUGAAAUAUUUUGAUAUUUUGAUUUGAUCAAUAUUUUGAAUGAUCUAUAUGAUGUGUAAGAAAACGAUGCUUGAUCUGAUAAGGUGUAUGAGUCUAUACUUACUGAGCUGUGGUUUGCUCAUUCCCUUUUUACUUUUUCUUUAUAGAUGACUAAGUGAUAAGUUUGGUUAGUCUUGUGUGAAGCUAGAAAAUGAAAUGAGAAAGAUUACUUAGUCGUCGGAGAAUAUGUUGACCAAUAAGAUCUUAAGAGAUAGUUUUGUAUUUUAUACGGUUUGUAUUUGCACGUAUAAAUAUGUAUCAUCAGUUGGAUUAAAGAUAUGAAUUUUACUUGGUAGAUUAUUUUAUUGAAGAAUUUUAGAAUGUUUAAGAAAGAAGGCUUCGUAUUACUUUGAGAUUUUUUUCAAGGUAAUAUGACCGUAUUACAUCUUGAUCUCGGAGCGUGACAUUUAUAGUGUUGCACAGAAAAAAGUUUAGAAUCUGCACGUGAACUCGGAUUCGACCCUAGACUACAUGACUGGACCAGGGCCAAUAACCUACCUGAGUUGAGCCUAGUCAUUUGAGCCGUCCAUUCAAGCUGUCGGUCGAGCCGAGCCACUGUUAAUUAGGGGUAUUUUCUAUAUUUCUUCCUUUUUUUAUUUUUGUUCACUUUUACAUUUUUGUGUAUUUUUUUAUUUUUUAUUGUUUAUUGUAUUUUUGGUUGAAUUUUGAUAUAGUUUUAGAAAUUUUUUUAAAAUUUGUAUUGAAAGUAAAAUGUUAUAUUUUAAAAUUUAUUUAAAAUAAAUGUGAAAAAAUAUUUAGAAAAAAAUUUAAAUAUCAAUUUUUUCUAAAAUCUUUGAAAAUAAAAAAAAAGAAAAUAAGAAUUAAAAAUAAUUUUCUAAAAAAAAUUGAAAUAUCAAUUUUUUCUUACAAUAAAAUUUAAAAAAAUGUUUAGGAAAAAUAGCUACUUGAGUUGUCCAUUUGUGCCAUCGAUUGAGCCGAGCCGUUGUUAAUCAUGGGCAUUUUUUAUAUUUUCUUUAUUUUUUUUAUUUUUGUUCACUUUUACUUUUUUAUGUGUAAUUUAUUUUUUUUCUAUUUUUUGAUUGUUUAUUGUAUUUUUGGGUGAAUUUUGAUGUGGUUUUAAAAAUAUUUUUAAAAUUUGUAUGGAAAGUAAAAUGUUUUAAUUUAAAAUUUCUUUAAAAUAAAUGUGAAAAAAUAUUUAGAAAAAAAAUUGAAAUAUCAGUUUUUCCAAAAAUCUUUGAAAAUAAAAAAAUAAAUAAAAAAUAAUUUCUUUAAAAAAAGAAAAAAAUUGAAAUAUCAAUUUUUCCCUACAAUAAAUUUUUAAAAAAUGUUUAAGUAAAAGUUAAAAUAUCAAUUUUUUUAAAUUUUUAAAAAUAAAAAUUAAAUAGAAUAAACAAAAUAAAUUUAAGAAAAGGUUAAAAUAUUAACUUUUUUUUAAACUUAAAAAAAAUUAUUUUGAAUCUUUAAGUGAUGGAAUUAUUAUAGAGUUGCAAUGGCAAUUUCUACAUAAAAUUCGAGAUGAGGUAUUAUUUUUUAAAUGCUGCUAAAUGUUAAAUCAUUUAGAAAAUUUUUAAUAUCAAAGAUUUUAAUGAAAAAUAUUUUUGAAUAGAUGAUGAAGUCUCUUCAAGAAUGACAAUAAGCAUAUUAAUUCUCUUAAUGUAAGGAAAUAUUUUUAAAUUUUUUUUAAAAUAUUAAGAUAAUUUAAAGAUAAUUUCUAAUAUUAAAUUGUUUUGAAAAUAUUUUAAAGAAAUUUUAUUAGACUUAAUGGAUAAUAUAUAAUCAAUUGAUACCUUCUUCGCAUUAUGAAGGUGUUAUAACCUUCUUAAUAUAUAACCAUACUUUCAAACCCAACUUUAAUUUGUAAACCAAAAAUUUUUAAUAAAUCUUACUUAAUUUUAAAGUUCAUUAAAAUAUAAAUUUUUAGAUUUUCAAUCACAUCUAAACAAAAAAAAAAAAAAUAGUGACAACUUUUAUUUUGUAUUUAAAGAUAGAAAAAUCAUUAUGACACCUGAUGAUUACUUUAUUGAUAUUUAGUGGUCAAAUUCAUAGAUUUUCACGUUAUAACAAAUAUAAUCAUCAUUGGUUUGAUAAUGAUAGUAUUGCUUACUAAUAGAAAAGAGAAUUCUCAAUACAAGAUAUGAGAAAAGUGAUUAUUUUGAUCUUUAAUGAUUUUGAAAUAAGAAGAUUUGGAUGUCAUGAAUCAUAUUGGGUCAAUAGUUAUUAACUUUCAUUUCACGGAUAAAGAUUCUAUCUCGUAAGUCUUAUUUCUUCAAAAUAACUGUGUUUGAUAUGAUCAUCAUGUUGAUUUUUCAGUCUCAAAAUUAACUUAUCCGGAGUGAAGAAAUUUGGAAGGUUAGCAUCAAUUUUUACAACAAGCUCAAAACUAUUCCUUUACGUAAAAGUCACUAAUGAUUUUAAAAUUUUUUUUGUCUCAUGAAUCCUUCCAUUUGUGUCAUUGACUCAUUGUGAAUUCUAAAUCAAAACGUAUAGCAAACUAAAAAACCAAAAUAAAAUUAUUCAAUUCAAAUCGAGAAGAACAAAAAAGAGAGAGAAAAGCAAGAACCUGAUGAAGAGGAAAAACUUCUCACACAAAAGAAAUUCUGUUGUUAACUCCUAGAUUUCCUGCUACAAUGGACCUUAAAACUCUUUCGAGUUAAGUCCUAAAACUCAGAAGAUCGUAUUGCCAAAAGCUUUUCUUCUGGUUGUUGUAGUACCUUAUGUAAACUAGAAAUUUAAAUGUAAUAGUCAGAGAUAGGUAUCCAAAGCAUGAAGUAAAAUAUAUGUUCAGCAAACAUUACAAAUUAACUCAGUAUAAGAACCUGAUUAAGAGGAAAAACAGCUUCUCACACAAAAAAAAAUUUGCAUUAACUCCUAAAUCUCCUGUUACAAUGGACCCUAAAGCUCUUUCGAAUUAAGUUCUAAUACUCAACAGAUCGUAUUGCCAACAACUCUUGUUCUAGUUGCAAUGGUAUCUGGUGUAAACUAGAAAUUCAAAUGUAAUAUAUGGAGAUAGGUAUUCAAAGCAAGCAAAAUAUAUGUUCAACAAGCAUUACAAAAUAAAGCAGCAACUAGACCUACUUCAUUAACAAUAUGGAAGUACCAUGCAAAUGGAUAGCAUAGCCAAAUAUGGAUGAAAUAUAUAUUCGAAAAUAAAUUAUAAAUAUUAAAAACAAACAAAUUUUACUUUUAUAAGGAAGCCAAGUUUUAUUAUUACUAAUUCAUUUGCUCUCGUGCUUUAUUGUGAGAUUUAUUGAUUACAAAUUUUUUAUAAGUAAAUAGGUAUAAGGUUUAAUAUACCAAAAUAAAGUAUAAUUGAUUUUUUUUUUUUUUUUUGCAUAUUGUCUUUUGUUUAGUUUUUUAUUUUCUUAUAAUGGGCAACAACUUUAAUAUUAUGAUAUAUUAUAUACUUUAAAACAGGAACAUGAACAUACAAUAAGAAUGCAACACUAUAUAGACACGAAUAAGAUGAUACAAUAAUAUUUUUAAAAAAAUAAAGAUAUGAAUAUGAUAAGAUAUGAUAAUAAAAAUAUUUUUUUUAUAUAUUUUUUUGUUAAAAUACUUAAUCUAUAUGUAAAUAUUAAUUUUUUAAUGUUUCAUUUUUUUCAAUUUAAAAUGAUAUUUUAUAAUCUAUAAAAUAUAUUUAAUUAUAUGAUAAAAAUUCAUUUUUAAAUACAUAGAAGAUAUAAAAUUAUUUCAAAAUGAUGAAUUAACAACAUAGCUCAAACAACGAAACAAUGUAUUUAACCUUUUAGGAAGAAGUGCAAGUUACAUUAUUUUCUCAAUUCUUUUAUUUUUCUUUAUUUUUUGGUAUAUAAAAAAAAGCCAAAAGUCAUGUUUGGUCUAUUUAAAUAUGCCCACUCCACCCAUAAGGGACCCUCACAAUCCCUUGUCUUUCAUUUUUUUUUCCCCUUUUUUUUUCUUGCUUUUUUUUUUAAAAAUUUUCCUGUUUUCUUUCUCUAGCUCCUAUCGAUUUUCGACGACUGCCUAUGUCAUCGUCAUCCCAGAUGCUGGUAUUCUUUUAGCUCGAAAGUCACUUCUAAUGGGUUAGAGUCACCUAAUUGAUGAUCAGUUUAAAAUUUUUUUUUUCAAACAAAUGAUUUCCAUUUUAACAUUUUAUUCAUUUCAACAAAAGCCGAACACCUCUUUAAAAUAUUUUUAGAAAAUUUUGCAACAUUUAAAACUUUAAAGAAAUGAAAUUUCUUUUUGAAGAACUUUCAACUAUGAUAUGACAUCCAGUUUCUACUAAGUUGAUAAAGAAAAAACGUAAAUAGGAGAAGUUGCUAGCUAGAACCCAUAGAAAGGUUUCAAUUAAAUAACAAAAAAAAAAAAAUUUAAUAACUAUGCAAUUACCAUGUAAAUGGAAAAUAUCACAUGCAUUCAAACAAGUUCUACCAAGAAAAAUAUAUGUUUUAAAAUAAAUUGUAAAACAAAAAGGAAAAGCAUACAUGAAGCCAGAAAAAGAGAGAAGGAAUUACAGUUUCAAGAGCCUUAAGAGAAAAUUUUUCUCACGAUCGCCAAUGAGUGUAGUUCAGACGAAGAGAAAAUUGUGAAAUACAGAAUAAGUAAAGUCUCUGGCUUAUAGAAGAUUUGGAUGGAGAAGGAAAGGAAGGAGGAGUUUUGGUGUUUGAAGACUUGGUUUGCGGUCUUUGCAAGUUAGUAAAAAGUUAUAACAAAGUUUCAACAAAUCAAUAGGAAAGUAUUAUGGUAAAAAUUAAUAAAAUUGAAAUACAGUGGAAAAAUUUAGUAUUUAGUUUUUCUAGAUUAAUUAAUUGAUUAUUUUUUUUAAUUACACAUAUUUGAUCUAUAUAAUAAAAUUUUUUAAUCUAUUGAUUUGAAUUUUUAUUUAAUUAUUUUUAAUAAAAAAUUUCAUAAAUUAUAUUUAAAUAAUUUUAUCUAAAAUAUUUCUUUAAUUAUCUUUGGAGUAUUUUUUAUAAGUUUAAUUAGAAGUAAUUAAAAAUUGAUUCGACUUAAAAAAAAUUUAUUCUAUUAGCUCGAAUCCAAAUUCGUCUAAUUUGAUUUAAUUUUAAAAAAAAAUUCAACAAUUUAAAUUUAAAUUGAUUCGAAUCCAAAUUAAAUCAAACUCAGCUUGAUUUAAAUCUGAAUUGAUUUGAACUAUAAUUGAUCUAAAUUCAAAUUAAUCCAAAAAAAUUAACUUAAACUUGAAAUGAAUAAUCUUAAAUUUAAGGUUGAAACUAAUUAAAAUUGAAGGGCUUUUUAUUUUCAUCAAGAAUAUAGGGGAGGUAUAUUAAAAUAUAUCGAAGAAUUGAUAACAAAAAUCAAUUGCCAGAUGCACUAGUGGAACAAUUUACUCUAAUAGAAGAGAAUUACCAAUUAAUGAGAAGGAAUUAUUGGAAAAAAAAAUCAAUUGAAGCUUUUGAAUUAUAUAUUGUGCAUACAAAAUAUAUUUAUUAUUAAAACUGAUACUACUCAAGCUCUAAGUAUUGGUUAGCUUCCCAUAUUGAUCCAAGCAGGAAGGUAUUACUUCCUUAGUAAUGAUUUUUAAGUUAUAUCAAUCAAAGGUUCACCUAAUAUUCAUGCAUAUUACAAAGAGUAAUGCUGUAAAUAAGUAAAAUUAUUCAUAAAUUAUUUGAAUUUAAUUUGAUUUAUUUAUCGAGUUGAAUUUAAAUUUAAACUAUUUAAAAAAUCAUAUCAAAUUUAAAUAAUUUAAUACUCGAUUUGAUAGAUUAGAAAGGUUAAUCAAAUUUUUAUAUAUAUUUUAAAAAUAUAUAAAUAAACAAUAAAAUUUAAUGUUUAAUAUUAAUAUAUAUGAUUUUAUUGAUAUUAAUCAAUUGAAUUAUGAAUCCAACUCAAAAAUAAAAAAUAAAAUUUGAUCAAAUUUCAAUCAAAUUUCGAAAUUCAAAUUAUUGAAUCAAAUCAAAUUCAAGUUUAUUAACAUUUCAGCUCAAUUAGAUUACAUCAUUAAUCAACAAAGCAGCCAAAUACUUGAAGUAAUAAUGGCAAACCUAGUAUUGAAGAAUACAAUGGAAGAAUCAUGGCAAAUUUAGCAACUCAGGUUGCAAAACUUAUUGAGAAAUUAAAAUUCUGUCAAGGAAGAAUUGCCCAACGAAUUUAACAAUUCCAUGGGACUUCUAUAAUAGAACUAAAAUUUACAGCAAAUGAUAUUUCAACAAUAUAUGUUGAAAUUAAAGAAUCCAUUAAAAUCUAUGCAAAGGGCAGUGCAAACUGAUGAGUCACCAAAAAUAGGAGGCACCAAAUGUCAAACUUUUGAAACAGAAAAGAGAACAGACAUCUCAGCAUGUCAUCAACAGCAAGGAGGAAACAACUACAGUUGCUUUGAUUUGUAAGGCAAUAUUUAAUUAUUUAUGAGAAUAGAAAGGGGGAGGUUGGGUAAAAGCUAUUUGGAGAACCAUUUAUAAU
rnacentral:lncRNA from 1 species